CUUGGGUUUCUCUUCCAUAAACAAAAGAUAAGAAAAAAUCAAUUAUCGAAGACAACAAAGGCAAAAAAUGGAGAUUUGUUUUCCAUAUGGGACUAUGAUGGUACGAUUGCAUAUGAUGACAUCAUCCAAGCAACUGAAGAUUUUGACAUCAAAUACUGUAUAGGCACCGGAGGCUAUGGGAGUGUUUACAGAGCACAACUGCCUAGCGGAAAAGUGGUUGCCUUAAAAAAACUUCAUAGUUGGGAAAGAGAGGAUCCAACUUACCUGAAAAGCUUUGAAAAUGAAGUUCAAAUGUUAUCAACAAUACAACAUCGUAAUAUUGUGAAACUUCAUGGCUUUUGUCUACAUAACAGAUGCAUGUUUCUCGUUUACAAAUAUAUGGAAAAAGGAAGCUUGUAUUGUAUGUUGAGGGAUGAAGUUGAGGUCGUGGAAUUGGAUUGGAUUAAAAGGGUAAAUGUUGUUAAAAGCAUUGCUAGUGCUUUAUCUUACAUGCAUCAUGACUAUGUCAUGCCCAUCAUUCAUCGAGACAUAUCAAGUAACAACAUUUUGCUGGAUUCUAAGCUUGAAGCUUGUGUAUCGGAUUUUGGCACUGCAAGACUGUUAGAUCCCUACUCAUCCAAUCAAACCCUUCUUGUAGGCACUUACGGUUAUAUUGCACCAGGUAAACUAGACUAUACUCUUCACUAGUUUUUAAUUGCUUAUGAAUAUUUUCAAUUGUCACACCCUCAAAAAAAUUCAAAUGUUUUUUAGAGAAUUCAAAACAUUUUAUAAGUUUUCUUUAUAUACAAAACAUAAAUACUCAUUUUUUUCCCUAUAUUUUGUAGAGCUUGCUUAUACUAUGGUUGUGACUGAAAAAUGCGACGUUUAUAGCUUUGGGAUGGUUGCAUUGGAGACAAUGAUGGGAAUGCAUCCAGGAGAACUUGUCACCUCAUUAUCAUCUUCAUCAACUCAAAACACAACAUUAAAGGAUGUAUUAGAUUCACGUCUUUCAUCUCCUAAAAGUACAAGAGUUGCUAAUAAUGUAGCUCUUAUUGUGUCAUUGGCGCUCAAAUGUCUCCAUUCUAAUCCACGUUUUCGUCCAUCCAUGCAAGAAGUGUCUUUGAAACUUGUUUCUACAAAGUCAUUCCCACAACCCAUCAGUGCAAUAUCACUUUUGCAACUAAAAGACGAAGUUAUUUAAAUGACAUGUGAGUUGGUAUGUAAUUGGAGUGAAGAUGUUUAUUUUCCAUUCUUCUUUUUCAUGCAUGUUAGUAAUGAGAAUUUUAUAGUAUAUGUAUCCCUUCUUUCCUAUUAAUUACUCAAAUGUAGCUUUUCUAUUUGUUUUCCAAAGUGACAAUAGUGUAAUGUGAUGAAAAAAAUUAUAUCAAAUUGAUACAUAAUGAUAUGUAAACUUUGAAUGAUUCAUAAUGGUUAAUCUUUAUAAUGAUCCUUCUUUGGAGAAGAAUCCUUCUUUUUCUUUUAUCAAUUUUAACAUAUAUACCAUUUUCUCAAUUUUAAUAUUCUAAUCAAUCAAAUUAGUGAUAUUUGUUGUGAAUGUGAUUGGUAGCUAUUAUCAAAGGCAUAUGAUAAAAUUGGGGAAAAAACAAAUUGAAUAAUUUCAAUAUGAUUGUCUCUACAUGAUGAAGUUAUUCUAUUUAUUUUUAAAAUACUAUUUUACCCAUUUUUCCUAUACAUUCUCUAAAAUUUUGUAUAAAAUAAAAUUAUUUGAUUUUGUAUAAGAACACUUAAAAAUGUUGAUGGGAAUGUGAAAUAUUAGGAUGACACUCAAACACCAAAUGACAUACUUGUGAUGCAAUAUUAAGAAAUUAUCAUAAUAUUUUACGAUUUGUCUCUACUAUGUAGUCACCUAUAAAUGUCAAUUUUAAAAAUAUUUAAUGAUCAAAGAAAAUUAAGUGAGAUAUGAUUAAAAAAUUCUAAAAAUUUUAUUUGCCCAUUCUAGAAUAAUAGAAAAGAUAUUCAUACUACUAAUUUUAUUAAGAUGAGAUACCUAGUUGAUAUAGUGUCCUUGCUUUUACAUAAAAUUAGACAUUAGAUUUACUUAAAUUAUUUUCAUAAUAGUGGCAUAUUUAUAAAAUAUAUGAAACUAAUUAAAUUGAAUAAUUGAGGUAACUAUGAAUAUAAGUAGGUCAUUAAUGCUCCUCGUUUUAUUGAAAUAUUAUAAAAGAAGCAUUAUUUCGGUUUCAUAUCUAAAGUUUUUUUUUUUUUUUUUUCCAACUCCAAUUGGUGUAUAUAGAUCCGAUUUUGUAGUGCAGGCCGGCAGCCAAUAGGAUUUCCUUCACAGAAAAGAAUGGACACAUGAACUACACAAAAACCAGACCAAGAAAUGAGUGUGGUGUUCUCUCCUGCCUUGGCUGGAAUUCCCACAUCACAACUGCCCUUCUUCACUCCAAAACCAGGUUCUUUUCUCUUUUCCUGUUUCUCAAUUCCCACAAUUCUCAUUCAUACUUAUUGUUAUUUCCCCCUUGUUCAGUUUUAAUAUGUUCGUAUCCUAAUUGAUCUUCAAUGCUCUUAGUCAAGUCCAAGAGUUGCAGAUUGAUUCUUGGGGCGUCAAUUCCAUUACUAAUAGCAGUAAUAAUAGUGGCAAGAGAGCUCAAUUGCCGGGUCACAAGGUCAAAUAUUAUUAUUCUUGUAUAAAAGAAAAUAAUUUUUAAUCUUUUUGUUUUAGAAAAAAUAAAAAAUAGUGUGGCUUUUUCAAAUAUAUUCAUCCCACAACUUCUUAUCCUAAUUUUCCCUAAAAUAUAUGAUAGAAUAUUUAUCUUAUAUAUUAAAAAUAUUUAAUUACAAAGGUCUUUUAGUCUUUAAACAUAAACUUGCAGCAAGGGAAGUGGUUGUCAUGGUCUACAUUUUUUGCGAUGCUAGAAGACACAGAGCUGGGUGUUAUGCAUUGAAAAGAAUCAGGUGGAUGCCAAUACAAGAGACUUGAGCCGUGUACUAAAAAAGAGUUGCUUGUCUUGGUGUGUUUGUAGGAAAAAUUGAUUAUUAUUAUUAUUAUUAUUGCAAUGUGAAAAAUAGAUGUACUAAGUGUAGAUUCUAAAAUUUGACUUCAAUUUAUUUUUAGAUUUUGAAUUUAAUUUUAUUCUUAAAUUUCAAUUCAAUUACACUUGAUUUUUAUUUCGAUUUACUUGUGACAUUUAAAUAUUAUUUUAUAUUAUUUUAUUUUAUUUUUAUUUCAUAUUUUAUUUUACCUUUUUUUCUUCUUUUUUGUUUUUCCCUUCUCUUCCCUCUUCUCGCUUAUCCUCACAUACCCACACUUUCCCCCCAUACCUCUCACGUCAGGAGACACCUCUCCUCUCCUCGCUUUUCCUUUUUUUCUCUCUCCAUUUUUUCUUCCUUUUUCUUCCCCUCAUUUUUUUCCUUUCUUUCUCCUCAUUUUUCCCUCUCUUUCUCUUCUUCCUCUCGCCCAUCACUCUACCCACACCUCCGGCACGGCACCAUCUCCCCUACUCCCCCAUCUUUCUCCAUUUUUUUUUUCUUUCUCAACCCAAACCCACUACACUACACCACCUAUUGCGCCAGUCACCGUGGACCAGUGGGCGACGCCACCUCCGACAGCCAACGACCACCUCCCAAUCCCAUCAUCUCAUCUCUCGUCUCAUCGCUUUUUCAUUUUUAUUUUAUUUUAUUUUGUUUUAUUUUCACAACAUACAGCAUCCAACAACCUUCCUUCAUCUCCAAAAAAAUGUGUAAGUUUAUUUAUGUAUAUUUUUUUUUUUUUGCUUUGAUUUCAAUAAUAAUUGUUAGUAAGAUUUGGGAUUGUUAAUUAACAUUAAACUUGGAUCCAUUUGUUAUUGGUGAAAUUUCUUGGAUAAUAUUUAAUAUGAUAAUAUUGUGGUAUAUUUUUGUUACAUUCAGACUUUAUAUAUUAAAUUGCGGCUUAAUUUAUUAAAUUAGGUUUGGAUGAUGAGAUAUUAAAUUUUUACAUUUAAUUGAAUUUAUUUUAUUUUAUUACAUUUUGAGCUUGAUUGAUUAUGUUUGUAUUGACUAUUAAGUUAGAAUUUUGAACUAAGGCUUAUAACAUAUAAGAUAUUUUUUUUGGGCUUUAUUUAUUAAUUUAGGCCCAAUUUUAUUGAUAAAAUUUAUUGGGCUAAUUUGAGAUUGCUUUUGGGCUUAUUAAAAAACUUUGUACAUUUUUAAAAAUUUAUUUUGGUCUGAUUUUUGUUUUGUUGUGCCCAUUCCUCAAUUUAUUUGUUUAAUAAAAAUUGUUAAGAAAAUUGAUUUUUUUUUAAAAUAAAAUUGUCCACAAGGUUAAUUUUUAAUAAAAUUGUUAAAAAAUGAUUUUAAAUAAAUCCUCUUUCCUUAAUUAGAAUGAGAUUAAAAGUAAUUUUUCUUAAUUGGGGUUUUAAAUAAUUUUUUUAAUGAGAAUAGGAUCAGGGUCAUUUUCGUAAAUAAAGUUUGUAAAGAAAUUAAUUCCUUUGUAACUAAAAUCAAAUUGAAAUACUUUUCUAAAUAAAGUUGUAAAAAUCCAUUCUUUUUUUUAGUAAAAGCAGGUAAAAAUUAUUUUUAUUGUCAAAUUAAUUUUUUUUUUAAAUUCUUUUAAUAAUAGUAAGUGUAAAUAACUUUCUUAAAAUAAGAAUUAAAUCAAAUCACUUCUUGAAAAUAAAUUAAAGCCUUUUUGGUAAAUAAAUAAAUUAAAAUCACUAAUUUGAAAUUAUUUUUAAUGGACUCCUUCAGAAUUUCUAGAAAAACCAAAUUUUGAAAUAUCAAUUUUUAAAUUAGUUUAAUAAAUUAAUUUGUUUAAUUCUCAUGUCAUUUGUUUUGUACAUUCUUAUGAUAUGACUUUGUCAUUAUGUUUAUGUAUAUUUAUUUGUGUGUCCUUAAUCUUGGUAUUCAUAAUUAAUUAAUUAAUUAAUUAUCAUAAUUUCCUCGAUUCGUUUAAUAGACACGGUAGGUAUAUGAGUUUAGAGGUAUGUUAUGACUUAUCAUCGUAUCUUCUCAAUAGGUAACUUGACCCUGAAGGUAAACUUAGUUUUUGUAGAUAUGUCUUUUCCAAAUAAGGAAUCAUAUAAAGUUUUCUUUCUUAUUUUAUCUUUUUUUAAAAAAAUAAAUUAAAAUAAGUGGCAAAUCCAAUUCUUUUAUAAAAAAAAAUAAAAAAUUUCACAAAUAAAAAGUAAGUCUUACAGUUGGAGUGGGGACACAUGUGGAGGAGUGGGGACACAUGUGGAAAACACGGUUUAUAGUAAAUUUGAAAAGACAAUCUCCAAAGUUGGCUUUACCAUUAUUAUUAUUUUUUUUUUAUUUUAUCAAAGAUAAGUUGAAAAAAUAUAUUUUAUAAAUAUAAUAAAUUUAUAGGGUGCUAAUGGAUGAAAUAGUCAAGUGUAUUUACAACAAAUCUCAAGAGGUCCAAAAUAUGUUUUUUUUUAAAUAAAUGAAAAAAAUGAAUGAAAAUUAAAUAAAAUAUAAAAUAUAAACCCUUCAUCAUUGAUACAAAGGACAAAAAUUUAGAAGAAAAAUGUUUCAUCAUUACCUUCUCUAAUUAAAAAAAAAAACCUAUAUUUGUUUUAACCAUAAUAAUCAAAGAAAAAAAAGGUAAAAAAAGAAAAUGGAAGGUGAAAAAUGAAAGUUUCCGGUCAAAAUAUAUAUAUAUAUAUAUAUAUAUAUAUAUAUAUAUAUAUAUAUAUAUAUAUAUAUAUAUAUAUAUUCUAAAUUUUCAAUCUAAACUUGUGUUAAAAAUAUUUGUCAAAAAGUAGUGUGUCCAUACAACAUCAAGUUUCACUUUGUUAUUAUUAUUAUUUGUUUUAAAACCAUAAUUAUUAAAUGUGAUUUUAGUUUUAAAACUAUAUUAAUGAGGGUAAAACCAAUAUUGGUAACUAUGGUUUUAAAUUUAAACCUAAAACCAUAAUUGAUAACCGUAAUUUUUUAUAUUAAACAAAAAAAGUUAAGUGAAUGUGUAGACCCGGGAGGAGUUUUUGGGGAUUUUCUACAUGAUUAUUCUUCUGACCACCCCGGGAAUUAAGUUGAUGGGGGCGGCGAGAUUGGACAGGAAACAGAGAGUAGGUAUGAGCUUGUAGAGGAAGUUUUCGGAGGAGGGGGACUGCUGUUCGCCGGAGAUGGGAGCAAAAGGGUAAAAGGAAAAGAAAGAAAAAAAGAGCAGAGAGAUGCAGGGAGAGGAAAAAGAAAGGGGGGAAUGCAGGGAAAGGGAGCGAGAAGAAAGGGGGCCUCCAGAAUUUUUCCCGAGUAAGCUUUUCCAUUAUGUUUUUCUUUCUUUCUUUGUUUCUCUUCGUAUAUUAUUAUUGAGAUGCAUUGUUGUUGAUUUCUGGAUGGGUUAUCCUCUGUCCCUCCUGGCCGGCUGUUCCUCUUUUGCUUAUGUGUAUGUUUGAAGAUUGAUUUAAUUCCGUUUUACCUUCUCUGGGAUAUUUUCAAAGAAAAGAGACUUUCUGACUCACUCUUCUUCAAGCCCACUAACUAAGAGAGGAAACAUAGUUCUUAAUGUUUCCUUUAUUUCUCUCCUUCCAUUGCUCUGUUUUUGCUGCUAUUCUCUCUGUUUUUCUUGCUUGGUUUUUCCCGAAUGUGAAGCCGUAAAGGGGAAUGGGUCUAUGGGAUAUUAUCACGCAACUCAACCCUCACCAGUCACCAUUCUCCCUUUACUGCAUCUUCUUCUCGAUCCCCCCAUUUCCCCCGCUUUCUACUCUAUAGAUCAAAACUACGACUACGGCAAAUUAUAGAAGCGGAUGCUGUGUUGAAAGCCCAUCUCUAUGACUGAAGCUGCUGCCGGUGGCGCUACUACUAUCCAUGACCUACCGGAUGUGAUUUUGUCGAGCAUAUUGGCGAGCGUGACCGGCACCAAGGCAAGGAACGCCGCGGCGCUGGUUGGCUGGAAAUGAUUGGUGUCGGAGAGGGGCACGCGGACCUCCCUCACCCUCCGUGGCAACGCCGUUCACAGCAAUCUGUACAGGAUCCCGACUAACUUUCAGGCCGUGACUCACCUUGACUUCUAGCUCAUCUUCUUUGCCAUGCCUUUCUGAUGGUGACCCCGCUCACUGUCCAUGCUCGCACUCCGGCCACUCUCCAACUCCUGGCUCCCCAAUGGCUCAAUCUCACCCACAGCAGCCAUUUCGUCCAUCAAACAGUCACUCCCAGAGAUGAAGCCUGCCACUCAUCACCAUUGCCGCCUUCCUCUUCAUCAAGAUCUCCGUCCAGCGCUGGAGACGACGGUGAGACCAGCAGCGCCGGCCAUGGCAGCGGCGGUGCGAGCGCCAGCAGAAACAGCAACUGUUGGUUUUUAAACCAGAUAAUUAAAAGAAAAACGGAAGCCAAAAAAAUUUUCUCAAAUUUUUUUUUUUCUCAAUGAUCAAUACUUGUAUUAAUUUAAUGAAAUAACAAAUAUAGGUAAUUUAGAAUUGUACCUUGCGAUUAGGCUGAUAAAUUUGAACUCCACCAAAAGGAUCUUAGAAUUCCAAAUCCUCUAAAGCACCAUGGAUCUUUCUCUAACGUUCUCCAAAAAAUGAUGAACUCAAAACGAGUGGGCGUUUUUCAUUCUUGGGUUAUUUUUUUUUUAUCACACAACUUAAUAUAUAUUGAAAACUUGUAUUCUUAUCCCAUCAUCCGAGAAACAUUGAGAAAAAAAAAACUUUUUAAUACCACGAAAUAACUGACAUAUUUUGAAUUUUGAAAAACAUGGGAGAGAAUAUCUCUCCCCAUGAUCCCCACUUAAAAAGUGUUUCUUAGGGAAUACAAGUAAGUGUGGUCUUCACCACAUUGUAUCAAAAAAUAUUUUAAAUAAUCAUAUUAUAAAAUAAAUAAAUCAAAUCAAGAUUGUGUGAAAUUAAUUUAGAAUUCAAAAUUCCAAACUAAUAAAAUCAACCCAACAUAAAAAAAAUGUUCAUAUAAUUUUAAUGGAGCCGUUGAGAGGAACUAUGGACAUUAUAAUUUUAAGCUCCAAUAACUUUGACAAUUAAUUAACAACUUAAUUAAAAAAUCAAAAUUAUUAAUUCCAAAAUUACUCCACUAAAAAUUUGGAAUUGCACUCUUAAAAUUAUAAAAUUAAAUAUAUUCAAAGGAUUUGAAUUGCCCAUUGAUAUAGUCACUACAUACGAGUCAAUCCUCCAUAAACGGUUCAUAAUUAAAGCUAGGUUUUUCCGUUAACCUCUUUAAUUAUAUCUUUCUCCUUAAGUGUCAUUGGUUCUCUAAUGAAUAAUAUAUUUAUGGUCUAAUCAUAAAUUGAGCGCUCUUAUCAUUCAAGGCCCGAACCAAUACUUAUGGGAACCGUCCAUCUGACUUCUUAACGAAGGAAUGGAUUUCAUCUUGUAUAUUAAUAUUCCCGGCUAUUUAUUUUAUUAUACUUCCAAUACACCAAGAAUUUGACACUAUGUAUUUGUGUCAUUACCCGGUAUGUAAAAAAAUACAAUAGAAUAAAUAGGAGUCUAUUAAUCACUCAGAAUUAAGAUCAAUGCAUAUAUGACCAUCAUUGAUUAAUAUUGAAUGCUCUAUAUUAUAACGGAAUUUAUCAGAGAUUCAUAAUUAAUCGUGUUCCAGUCCUAUAUAAUCAAAUUAUAUAAAGCGCUUUCAUUCCAAUAAUCUCAUUAUUAACAAUCCGGAUAAGAUCAUUUCAUUCAGAAUGUAAUGAACCGCGCUAGUAAUUUUAAAUUAAAGAUCCCAACUUUAAUUUUUAAUUACGAAUAUAUUAGAUUAUUUUACUUUAAAUAUUAUCCUCUUGUAUAUAACACUUAUAUACAAUAUUUAAAGUUACAAUUAAAUAAUCUAGGGUUUUCGAUAUUCAUAAAGCAUCUAUAACAUGCAUGCAACAAUAAUAUUGAAAUAAUUCCUAAAAAAAAUAUUAAUAAUCAGCAAAAUAAAAAACAUCUCAUUUGUUUAUGGGCACAUAUUCCAACAGCAACCCCCACCUCUAUUCCUUCAUACCAUCAUGGCCAUCAUUGACAUGAAGGCCCUAUCCUCCCCCCCCCCCCCCCCCCCCCCCCGUGGGCUUGCUAUCAGUUGGCCACCCUUUUUGUUCUUUUAAAAAUAAGGUGGCAGCACCUCUAGAUCUUCAUGGUGGAUGUUUGGCUGGUGGGCUUUGUUGGUGGGCUCCCAAAGCCCAGGUUGUAUGUUAAGAUUAGUUCACAUGGGCCUUAAGCCCCAUCCCCCAAGUUCGGGCCAAGUAUACAGCCCUCUCGAGUCUUUUCUUUUAAUGUUAUAAAUAUGUUUUUCCUAUGAAGAUUUUAAAAUCAGCUGUACAAAACAUCAUUUUCGAAAUAACUUCCUAAAAUUUAAUUUUAAAUUCAGUUUGCAAAAUUUUGAUUCUUGAAAAUUCAAUCCCGAAAAUUCCCCUAUGCAAUUAUACUCGUUUAAAUAUUAGGAUUAUUAAUUAUUAUUAUUUUAUAUGUAUCGAUUUAUCAUCUUUUAAAAAUCUCAUUCAUUAAAGUCUAAUCCUUCAAAAAUUCUAUGUUUUAAUUUAAAUUUUCAAUUCUAAAAAUUUCACAAUUUGUUUAAAUCCCAUUUUCAUCAACUAGAAUUAUCCUCCUAUAUUUAUCUAUUUAAAUUCUAAUCCUUCAAAAAUUCCAUGUUUUGAUUUAAUCUUUUAAUCCUAAAAAUUCUACAAUUAAUUUAAACCUUACUUUCAUCAAUUAGAAUUACCCUCCCAUAUUUACUUAGUUAUUUAAGGUCUAAUAUUUCAAAAAUCCCAUAUUUUAAUUUAAUUAUUCAAAUAUUCGUUUAAAUCUCAUUUUCAUUAAAUAGAAUCAAUAUCUCAUAUUUAUCUAGUCUAAUAUUUCAAAAAUCCCAUGUUUUAAUUUAAUUCUUCAAAUAUUCGUUUAAAUCUCAUUUUCAUUAAAUAGAAUCAAUAUCUCACAUUUAUCUAGUCUAAUAUUUCAAAAAUCCCCUGUUUUAAUUUAAUUAUUCAAAUAUUCGUUUAAAUCUUAUUUUCAUCAAUUAGAAUCAUUAUCUCGUGUUUAUUUAGCUAUUCAAAGUCUAACCUUUUCAAAAAUCCCUUGUCUCAAUCUAAUGUUUCUAUAAUUCAUUUUGAAUCUUAUUUUCAUCGAUUAGAAUUAUUAUCACGCACUUAUACACUUAUUUAAAGUCCAAUAUUUCAAAAACCCCAUGUCCUAAUUUAAUUUUUCAAUCCUAGAAAUUCCAUUAUUCGUCCAAAUUUUAUUUUUGUUAAUUAGAAUUCUUAUUCCAUAUCUAUUUAUUUAUUUAAGGCCCAAUUCUCCAAAAAUCCAACUUCUGAAUUAAAUUUUCAAUCCAAAAAAUCCUACUAUUCAUCUUUAUUCGCCUAAAUAUUAUUCUUGUUAAUUAGUGUUAUAAUCCCAUACUUAUCUAUUUAUUCAAAGCCUAAUCCGUCGAAAAUCCAACGCCCUAAUUUGAUUUUCAAUUAAAAAGAUUCCGCUAUUCAUUUAUUCGUAUAAACAUUAUUUUUGUUAAUUAGCAUCAUUAUUCCAUACAUAUUUAUUUAUUUAUUCAUUUCAAUCAUUAAAAUUCAAUUCUUCAAAAUCGGAUUUCCAAAUUUAAUCUUUAGACUAAAAAAUUUCACUAUUCACUUUUAUUCAUUCAAAUAUCAUUUUUGUUAUCAUUAUUAUAAAUUCCACGUUUACUUAUUUCUUUCUUCUAAAAAUUCCAAUAAUUAAAGUUCAAUUAUUCAAAGAUUCGACUUUCAAACUUAAUUUUCAAAAUCCCACUAUUCACUUUCAUCCGUUCCAACAUCAUUUUUGUCGAAAUUCGCAUUUCAAAUUAAUUUUUAAUCUCACAAAUCUCACUAUUCACUUUCAUCCGUCCAAAUAUCGUUUUGAUUAAUUAAUAACAUUGUUCCAUAUUUACCUAUUUAUUUCUCUUAAAAAUCUCAAUCAUUAAGGUCUAAUUCUUCAAAAUUUCGAUUUUUAAAUUUAGCUAUUUGAAACUCCAAUUGUCCAAUCUCCGAACUUAAUUUUCAGUUUCCCAUGCUCCAAUUCCCGUAUUUAUCCCGCUACUUAUUAUUAUCAUUAUCAUUAUCAUCUUAUUCAUUAUUUCUAUAAAUUCUGCAUUCGAAUGAUUUCUAAGAUUUCCAAUUUUUACACAUCAACUUUCAUAAUUUCUAUUUCUCAAAUAACUUACGAUUCUGAUCUCUUUCAAAAUUCAACUCCCAAAGUCUCAAUUUUCGCAACUUAAUCUUUCUUUAAAAUCCCGAACCCUCAAAUCAUCUUCAAAAUUCCAACCUCUUUCAAAUUCAGUUCCUAAAAAUUCUCAUUCUCACAUUCAAUCUCUAAAAGUCUAAUCUCCAAAUAAACUCUAAAACUCCAAUUUUCUAGUGAACUUCGAGAUUCCAAUUUUUCAAUUAAAUUUCAAAAAAUCUGAUUUUCUCUUAAAUAGCUUAAUUCCAUUCUGGUCUUCAAAACAAUCUUCUGCUCCUCUGUUUUAAAAAAUGUUUUGAAAUAAACAAAUAAUCAAAUUUUGUAAUUCUGAAUAAUGGAAUUUACGGAUUUGGUCCAUUUGAUAAAUGGGUAUUGGUGGGAGCCCAACAUAUGCGACUUUAUAACUGAUUGAUUUAGUUGUCAUGCAUGAUUGUUUCUAUUCUGUCCUAUGACAUGCUUGAAAUCAUUCUUUAAUUGUGCACUAACCUCACUUUUUGAUAAGCGCAUUGUGGCUCGUCACUCAGGUACGUAUCUAUUCCCAUUCCGGUAUUUCCAUAUACAUGUUUUGAUUCUCCUAUGUGCAUGAUAAUUCCGGGUAUUCAUUGUUUUCCUCAUCAAUUGCCAUGAUUGCUUUAUUUUAUUAGUAGAGACCCGACUUUAGGGGCUUAGAGGGGUGCUACGGUCUUUACCAUACCUUCCUGAUGAGUAACUUGACCCCCGAACCCGAUCCAGUUUUUCAUAGACCACCUUUUCCAAAAUAAGGAGUCACACUUAGGGUUUUUCUUUCUUAUUUUGUUUACCCUUUAAAAAUAAAACAAAAAUAAGUGGCGACUCCAAGUCAUUUUUAAUCAAUAAAUCAAUUUUUUAAAUAAAAAUCGAGCUCGUCAUCAAGUGGGAAACGCAUGAGCCGAAAUGCGGGGUCCACAGAAUGAUUACGUUAUUACAAAGGUUAGAUUGGUAAAUAUUUUGGGAGAAAAUCUAUUUUCAUUAUUUUUUUUUUCAAAAGCACUUGAGAAAUGAUGUAAGUAUAUUAAUUUCAUACGUGCACUUAGUUAUUUUUUAAAAUUUAUAAAAAUAUUAAGGUAAGGAUAUUUUAGUUAUUAUGCUUUAAAAAUAGUAAUUAUGCUUCCUAUAUAAAAUAAAAUAUAUUUUAAUCUUUUUAUUUUGAAAAGAAACAAUGGUGUUGUUUUUCAAAUAUUUCAAUUCUAUUACACCUUCUCCCAACUUUUCCAAAAAUACAUACAUAGAAGAUAGAAAGAGUUUUUAUCUCAUAUAUUUAAAACAUUUAAAUUAGGAAGGUUUUUUAGAUAGGAAAUAAAAUCAUAUUAGGUGAUGAAUAAGUGAAUAUAAAUUGCUUUUUUUUUCAUACGUAGAAUAGGCUGUUAUUGUCUAGUUUUUCUGUUGGUUAGAAGACAGCUAGGUCGACAGUCAGCAAGAGAAGCCCGUGGACACCAAUAUUUUUAAUCUAUAUUUAAUAUAUAUAUAUAUAUAUAUAUAUAUAUUAUUUUUUUUGAAAAUAAUUUCUCCACAAUUAAAUAUUAUAUAUGUUUUUAAAUAUUAGUUCAUUUAAAUUUAAACUUGUCCUCAUUUCUUUUGAUGAUAUCAAAUAUAAAAGAUAAAAUAUUAUUAAAAUUUUGAAUUAUAUUUAUAUUUUUUAGUUUUUUAUAAUUAAUUAAUUUAAUUUUAUAUUUAUAACGUUACUAAUUUGACCAUGGUUCAAUUAUCAGCUCUGAUCAAUAAAUCGUAAAUUGGUAACUUUUUUUAUUCAAUGACCAGAUUAUAAAAACAUUGAUUUGAUGUAUAAAACAAUUUUAAUAUUUAAAGUAAAAAUUAAAUAAUAUGUUUUAAGUUAAUAACAUAAUUAAAAAUAACUUAACUUACAGUUAACUUAAGUCAUUAAAUAAUAAGUAUUAAGUUUUACUAGUGGUUAUCUAAAAUUUUAAAAGUGGUUUUAAGAAUUUGUCAAAUACCUAAUUUUUCUCAUAAAACACUUUCAUAUAUCACAUACGAGACACUUUUAACUUUCUCAAAAUCAUUCUCCUGACAUACUUAUAUAAAAUUUUACAAAGAUUUUUUGGUACAUAUUUUUUGUAAUUUGUCAUUGUUUACAUUGGGUUGACUCAUCUAAGUCUUCUGCUUGGUCUUUUAGGUAAACAUGGCAUAGCUUGGAAAAUUAUAUGAAUGAAUCCAUCAUUUAUCUCAACAUCAAUAUUUUUUUCUUCAAAUUAUUUGAUAGGAAACCUUGGAAAAUAUUGCCUUGAAAAAUAUGGUUGCAUUCCCAUUUUUUCCACGAUAGUAGAGGUCUCAUAUUUUGGCUAUGAACCUUUUGGAAAAUCCAUUAUUAAAAGUAAACAACACAUAACUUAAUUGAGUCAUUAAAUUAUUUAAAAAUAGUUUUUCAAAGGUUCUUCGAAAACUUCACAUUUUCAUUUUGAUUUAUAAUGUCUAAAAAUCUUAUAUUACACUAUAAAUUCUUUUAAAAAUAUGCUAUUAGGAGUAAAAGAAACAAGAACCUUAUAUUAGUAUUGUAGAAAACAAAAAUUUAAAAGAAAAAGUUUCUAUCUUUACCUUUUGAAAUUAGAGAAACUAUAUUUGUUUUAAUUAUAAGAAAUGAUGGAAAAAUAGUCUGAUUGAAAAAAAAAAAAAAAAGAGGUAAAAGAGAAAAAUGUUUGUUUUAAAACAUAAUUUUUAAAUAUAAACAUUAAAAUAUCAAAUGUAUUAUCAUUAAUAUUUGAAAUUAUCAAAAUUUGUGAGGUAAUAAUUUCAUUUUGUUCUCCAUUAUGUAUUUAUGUUUGUAUUAAAUUUAUAUAUAUAUAUAUAUAUAUAUUAUCAUUUUGUGUUUAAUGGUACAAUAUUUUUAUUUUUUGUCUAUUAUGUAUUUAUGUUUAUAUUAAAUUUGUUUUAUUAAUUAUCUUUUAUAUAUAACCAUUUUUUAUUUAAUGUGUUUAAAAAAAAUUAAAAUUUAAAAGAUGUAAUGAGAGAAAGUGUAGCGAGAAUUAAAUAAAUAAAUAAGUGUCAAAAACUUAGAUAAGGUAACAUGGAGGAGAAAAGAGAAAAAAAUUGACUUAAUUGUGUCAAAAACCUGUAAAGGUUUUUGUGUGAAUCUCAUUCUUUUUAUUCCAUUUCUUCUAUCAUCUCUUAUAAUUUCCUUUUUCAUGUAAGCACAGUAAAAGUUUACCAAAGUUGCGAUUAAUUGAAAAAUAUUGCCAGUUCACAUUUUGAUUCAUUCAUGAUGUUUAAAUGUUUUGCAUGUAUUUGGGUUCUAGCCCUUCCAAAAAUCCACUAAUUUUUGUGCUUUGGAAAAUCCUCACCUAAUUCAUAUUUUUUGUGUUCUCAUUCUUCAUUAAGUUAGAAGACAAUCUUAGUGAGUGUCAAUGUUCACAUUACUUUUAUUGUAAUCCACUUGAGUGGAAACAAGGAAAUUUCAUUCAUGGUGGUCUUCCCACUAAAUUAAGGUGAUUGAGAUUUGUUUCGAUGGGUCAAUAUCAUGAAUUAUGUGAACACCAAUAUUAGAGGUUGUAGUAGUAGACUAAAAAAGUGUUGCCUAACUUAGGGUGUUUUCCGGAAAAGAGCCUCUUAGACACCAAUAUUCGAAAGCACUUAUCUUGAUUAUGGGGGUAAAAAAUGAAGCAGUUUUUGCUUUAGCUUAUGUUUGGUUCUUGGAAAACACUAAGGAAAGAAAAAAAAUGUAAAAGAAAAUGAUUUUUUUCAUGUUUAAUUAUCUUAUGAAAAAUAUCAAAGAAAACCAAAUAUAAUUAUAACUAGUUAGAAAUUUAUAUAUAUUUAAAUUAUUUAAUCUUUAUAUUAAUGAGUUAAAAUAAGUAAAAUGAGUUUAAAAUAACAAAUAAAAAUAAUUUAUAGACUCUUAAUCUAUUUUUUAUUUUCCUUUACUUUUUAUUUCCUUCUACUUUUCCUUUGUAUUUUUUUUCCCUUGCAUUUUUCCUUAAAUUUUUUGAGAACCAAACAUAGCCUUAGGAAACAAAAGAAGUAGUCCAAAAGUAUUUUGUAUAUGAAUAUAAGGUAAAUUCCUAUCUUAUGUACAAUUUAUAUUUUUAAAAAUAAAAAAUGGAAAAUAUAUGUACAAACAACCUUAAUAAUUAUCAUAAAUAUUUUAUUUGAACUUCAAUUUUUCUUUUCAUUUUUCAUUUUAUGAUUUAAAAGUUUUAUUUUUUCUAAAAUUUCAUUCAACUUUUAUAAUUUGCUAUUGUUCGCUUUUGUUUUUGUCAAGUCUUUGUCUAGUUUUUCAAAGAUUCUUGGAAAAUUUUAUCUCAUUCUCAUUUUGAGCAUGUUGUUUUGUUUUAGUCACGUCUUUAUCUAGUUUUAUAAUGAGUCCACAAAUCCAUAUUGCGUAAAUCAUACGUAAUUUAAUUUUUUUUUGACUCAUUAUGAAUAUUUUAUUUAACUUUUAAAUUUUCUUUUAAUGAUCAUUUGCGUUUGUGAAGGGUCAUUCUUUUCAUUUUGUUUGACUUCUCAAAUCUCAUUUUCAUGUGAAACUUUGUAGGGUUUUCCAAAGGCCCUUGGAAAAUAUUGCCUUAUUCAUUAUGAAAUCUUCCAAAAAUCCAUGACGGGCAAUAAAUAAGGUAUAAGCUUAAUUGAGUGAUUACAUUAUUUAGAACUUAUAUAGGAUUGAUUUUAGGUAAAGCAUUCUUAAUUUGUAGUAGUCUUUGUAAUUAGUGUUUUUAUUAGAAAAACUUUUUAAGAAAAAUCAAUUAGUGCUUAGAUAUAAUAACAAAAAUAUAUAUAUAUAUAUUUUUAUAGUAUUUUUAGUAAUGUGUUAUAUAUAACAAAAAAAAAAAAAAACAUAAAAUCUCCUAACAUGUGAUCAUCCAUGAAUCACUUUAGAUGAUUAACUAAAAUUUUAAAAUAACUUUAUGAUUAUCAUUCUUUAAUUUCGGUUGACUCUUCUAAGUCUACUUAUUGGUCUUUUAUGUAAAUAUGCUAUAGUUUGGAAAAUUCUAUCCAUCAUUAAUCAACAUCAAUCGUUGUUUUCUUUAAAUGAUUUGAUGGGAAAGCCUACCUCACAUGGAAUAUGGAGUGCCUUUGUUUAAUGGAUUUCAAUUGCAUGCUCCUGGAAAUUAUGCCCUAAUCCAUAUUUUUUUUGCGUUGAUAUGGUGAGCUGUUGAAGAUGUAUUUCAUUUUCUUGAAAAGAAAUAAUUAGUGCAUACACAUUUUGAAAUAUUAAAUUAAAGAGGAAAAUGACACCAUACUCCCAUAAAAUUCAAUAUAUUUGUUUAUUUGUUAAAUAAGUAAAUAAUUAAUUAAUCAAAGACUUUAAAGGAAAUAUUUGUGUGAACUAAAAAUAUAUAUAUUUAAAUUAUAAAGGAUUUAGAUAGGAAAGAAAAAGAGGUUUUAAAUGUAUAAACUUGCAUGCAACAAAGGGAAUUUGCUGUCAUUGUCUACUGCCUUCUUUGUUACGUUAGAAGAGAGGCAGCUGGGUGAUGAGCAUUUGUGUUCACAUUUACUUUUAUUGCAUGCAGUCCACACUUAAUUGUACACAAGAAAUUAAUUCAUGGACCACGAGGACAUUAAUAUUAAUAUUAAAGACUUGAGUUGAGCAGUGGACUGACUUGACUUGGGGUGUGCUUCCGGGAAGAGUCUUUCUUAGUCUUAGGCACCAACUAAUAUUUAUAUUUAUAUUUGCAUUAUAAAAGUGUGAGGUAAGGUUUAAUUAAUUGCAGUGAAUUAAAGAUGGUGUCCUCCAUUAGAAUUUCUAGAGCAGUGGUGCUAGUUACCAUUACCAGUACCAUGAUGAUAAUGUCAUUCUCCUCCCUUGCCAAUGCAAUAUCAUCACCAUCAUCAUCAACUGAUGAGGGAGAGGCUCUGCGCAGCACCGGUUGGUGGAAUUCUACUUCUGCUCAUUGCACCUGGGAUGGUGUACGUUGCAAUAAGGCUGGAAGCGUCACUCUCAUAGAGCUUUCCUAUCUAGGAAAAAAAUUGGGUGAGCUUAGCAAAUUGAAGUUCUCUUCAUUUCCCAGCCUGGUUGAGCUCUUCCUUUCUGACUGGAGACUCAAUGGUAGAAUCCCUCACCAAAUAGGUACUCUUACUCAACUCACCUCCCUACAUCUCUCUUCAAACAAUCUUACAGGUGAGCUACCUCUUUCCUUGGCUAACCUCACUCAGUUGGAGUCCCUCGUCCUUUAUUCUAAUCGACUACAUGGUUUGAUUCUUCCUGAAAUUGGGAAAAUAAAGAAUCUGACUUUUUUGGAUUUGGGCAAUAACAAUCUUACUGGUAUCAUCCCUUCAUCUUUUGGUAAUCUUACCAAUUUGACUUUUCUUUAUCUUGAUGGUAAUCAAGUAAGUGGUUUUAUCCCUCCUCAAAUUGGGAAAAUGAAGAAUAUGAGGUUGCUCUAUCUUUCUUCUAACGGACUACAUGGUCCAAUUCCUCCUCAAAUUGGGAAAUUGAAGAAUCUGAGGUUGCUCUAUCUUUCUUCUAACGGACUACAUGGUCCAAUUCCUCCUCAAAUUGGGAAAUUGAAGAAUUUGGAGGUGCUUUAUCUUUCUUAUAACAGACUACAUGGUCCAAUUCCUCUUGAAAUUGGGAAAUUGAAGAAUUUGAAUAUUUUGAAUCUGAGUUAUAACAUCCUUAUUGGUGUCAUCCCUUCAUCUUUUGGUAAUCUUACCAAUUUGACUUCUCUUACUCUUAGGGGGUGUUUGGUAUGUCGGAAUAGGGAAUGAAUUUGAUGAUUCCAUUUCUAGCAUUUGGAUGAACUUAGGAAUACAAAAUUGAAAUGAUUAUUUGUUUCCAUUCCAAUGUUUGAUAAUAAUAGGAAUGGAAAUGAAAAAGAAAUAAAUUUACAAUAAUAUCCUUACAUAUAAUUUAAAAUAUUUUUUUAUUUUUACUUUGAUUUUAAAAAAAUAAAAUUUGAGAGGUUUUUUGUUAUUAAAUAAUAAGACUAAAAUAUAUAUAUAUAUACUCAAUAAAUAAAAAAUCGUAUAACCUUAAUGCACAAAUAUUCAAUUAUUAUUUUUAUUAAAAAUUUGAAUAAUUUGUCAUGCGUAGUUAUAAAAUUAUAUUUUUCAAAAAAAAAUUAUUUAUUAUAAUAUUUAAAUUCUCAAAGCUAGCAAAUGUUUUUCCUAUUUUCAAAAGAGGAAAUAAAAGAAUUCUAAUUUAUUCUAAUUUUCAACAAGUAUCAUAUCCAAUAAAAUCCAUAACCUUAAAAAAUUUUAAAUAUUCGUUUUUUUUUAUCAAAAUUUUAAAUAAUUUGUCAUGCAAAAAAAGCUAUAGAAUUAUAUUUUACUAAGAAAAAAAAAGAGAAAAAAUAUAAGAACAUAUAAAUUGUCAAAGCUACCAAAUACUUAUUUCUUAUUUGCAAAAAAGGAAAUAAAAAAACACAAACUUCAUUCUAGUUCUCAAUAUAAGUACCAUAUCUACUAAUAAAUAUUAAAAAGAUUAAAUAUUCUAUGUUUGACCUCACAAUCAUGGGUUUUUUAAUCAUUAAAUUUAUUGGUUGUUUAAAUAAUGUCCAUAAUUUGCCUUAAUCAGAUGUCCACAACAGAAUGCCUGGGAAGAUCAAUAGUGACAAUGGUACAGAGCUCAUCUUGACUUUUUCUUGAAGUUGCAGAUUUUAAUUUAACCCCACCUAAAUAUUUUAUUACACUGUUGCUUGAAUCUUUUUAUGUGCCAUUAGUCGGUCAUUCUGGUUAUCUAAUUUAUUGGAUCUGGAAAGGUAUGAAAAUCAUGUUUUAUUGGCAUUGGUGUUGUGAUGUGAUGUGGCUUAGGUCGGGAGAUUUGCAUCAUGCAAACCUCCUUGGGCUGUCUACAUCAAACUUAAAGUUGGGCCGAUAUACAUCAAUAGCAGCUGGAAUAAAAAAAUUAAUCAAUGUUGGUUUCUCGGUGCUUAGUGGUUUGUUUACUGUUAAAUAGCAAUGAUAUGAAGAGAUCUUCACUGUGGCCCAUGCUAAAGUUCCAAAAUGAGCCGGAAACGCAGCAGAUUUUCUGCGAGACGGCAGAAUCCAUAGCUUUAACUAGGAAAGGAAGACGUCGAUAAUAAUAAACAAAGGGGGAAAAAAACCAAAAGUUUUGUUUUUGUUUGUUUUUUUAUUUUUAUUUUUUUCCUAACCAUUAAAAAUUUUCAAUAUUGUAAACACGUGAAAUAGAAAAAUCUUUUUCCAACCAUUUCAAUUUUUCUCUCCAGUUUCCAUUAAUACAAGAUAAAGAAACAUCAAAGAUUCCAAACAUAAAUUAAUAAUAUAAAAAAUUAAUCGAUUUAUAGAGAAGAAGAAACACAUAAAAAAGUAAAAGAAGAAAGAGAAAAUAAGGUAAACCUGAUCGAAGAUGUAGAAGGGAGUUUUCAGAACCUAGUUGCAGCAAACAAUGACGAAUCCUAGAUCCAACAAUCAAAAUGAACAUCCAAAACCCUAUAAAUUACAAAUUGAUUUUUUUUUUUUUUAAAUAUCGUGGAAGGUUUAAUUGAUUCAAUUUGGAAGAAUCACUUGUUGCAGAGAAUUGGAUGAUGAGUGGGUCUCUAGCUUUACAAAGAAGAUAAGAAGUGGAUGAUGAAUGGAUCUCUACCUUUACAAAGAAGAUAAACAUCGGGUUUGAAGAACAAGAUAAGAGGGUAAAAUAGUAAUUUAGGUUAUUUUAUAUUAUCAAAUAGGUUUAAUGAAUCAGAAUACCAUCUACUUUUAAUGAAUGCAAAUCCGACUCAUAAGUUGGAUUUGAUUUCUGCCGGAAUAAUUUUUUAUUUCAUUUCCGCCUUCUUAACAUUUAUCCAAACAUAGGAAUAAGGGAGAAAAGGAAUGAGAUGUCUAUUCCCACUCCCUAUUCCCGUGUACCAAACACCCCCUUAGAGGUAAUCAAAUAAGUGGUUUUAUUCCUCCUGAAAUUGGAUAUCUUUUGAAUUUAUCAUAUCUAGAUCUCAGUGAGAAUCAAAUCAGUGGUUUCAUCCCUGCAGAAAUAGUAAAUUUGAAGAAAUUGGGUCAUCUAGACAUGAGCAAUAACUUAAUAAGUGGAAAGAUACCUCCACAGUUGGGAAAUUUGAAAGAAGUAAAAUACUUCAAUCUCUCCCACAAUAACCUCUCUGGCACCAUUCCUUAUUCUAUUUCUAAUAACUACAGAUGGACAUUAAUUGAUUUAUCAAACAAUCAGUUGAAGGGUCAGUCUAGAGCUCCAGUAAAGGCAUUUGGCCACAACAAAGGUCUAUAUGAUGAAAUCAAAGGUCGGCCACGAUGCAAGAAAAGGCACAAAAUCACACUCAUCAUUGUUGUUUCUUUAUCUACAACCUUGUUGCUUUCAGUUGCAGUCCUUGGUUUUCUCUUCCAUAAACGAAGGAUAAAAAAAAAUCAAUUACUCGAGACAACAAAGGUGAAAAAUGGAGAUUUAUUUUCCAUAUGGGACUAUGAUGGUGUGAUUGCUUAUCAAGACAUCAUCCAAGCAACUGAAGAUUUUGACAUCAAAUACUGCAUAGGCACUGGAGGCUAUGGGAGUGUUUAUAGAGCACAAUUGCCAUCUGGAAAGGUGGUUGCCUUGAAAAAACUUCAUGGAUGGGAAAGAGAGAAUCCAAGUUACCUGAAAAGCUUUGAAAAUGAAGUCCAAAUGUUAUCAAGAAUACAACACCGUAACAUUGUAAAACUUCAUGGCUUCUGUCUACACAAGAGAUGCAUGUUUCUAGACUUCUAGUUUACAAAUAUAUGGAGAAAGGAAGCUUGUAUUGUAUGCUGAGGGAUGAAGUUGAGGUUGUGGAAUUGGAUUGGAUUAAGAGGGUGAAUGUGGUCAAAGGCAUUGUCAAUGCUUUAUCCUACAUGCAUCAUGACUACAACUUGCCCAUCAUUCAUCGAGACAUAUCAAGUAACAAUAUUUUGUUGGAUUCUAAGCUUGAAGCUUUCGUAUCGGAUUUUGGCACUGCAAGACUGUUAGAUCCCGACUCAUCCAAUCAAACCCUUCUUGUAGGCACUUACGGUUAUAUUGCACCAGGUAAACUAGACUAUAUUCUUCACUAGUUUUUAAUUGCUUAUGAAUAUUUUCAAUUGUCACACCCUCAAAAAAAUUCAAAUGUUUUUUAGAGAAUUCAAAAUAUUUUAUAAGUUUUCUCUAUAUACAAAACAUAAAUACUCAUUUUUUUUCCCUAUUUUGUAGAGCUUGCUUAUACUAUGGUUGUGACCGAAAAAUGCGACGUUUAUAGCUUUGGGAUGGUUGCAUUGGAAACAAUGAUGGGAAUGCAUCCAGGAGAACUUGUCACCUCAUUAUCAUCUUCAUCAACUCAAAACACAACAUUAAAGGAUGUAUUAGAUUCACGUCUUUCAUCUCCUAAAAGUACAAGAGUUGCUAAUAAUGUAGCUCUUAUUGUGUCAUUGGCGCUCAAAUGUCUCCAUUCUAAUCCACAUUUUCGUCCAUCCAUGCAAGAAGUGUCUUUGAAACUUGUUUCUACAAAGUCAUUCCCACAACCCAUUAGUGCAAUAUCACUUUUGCAACUAAAAGACGAAGUUAUUUAAAUGGCAUGUGAGUUGAUAUGUAAUUGGAGUGAAGAUGUUUAUUUUCCAUUUUUCUUUUUCAUGCAUGUUAGUAAUGAGAAUUUUAUAGUAUAUGUAUCCCUUCUUUCCUAUUAAUUACUCAAAUGUAGCUUUUCUAUUUGUUUUUCAAAGUGACAAUAGUGUAAUGUGAUGAGAAAAUUAUAUCUGAUUGAUACAUAAUGAUAUGUAAACUUUGAAUGAUUCAUAAUGGUUAAUCUUUAUAAUGAUCCUUCUUUGGAGAAGAAUCCUUCUUUUUCUUUUAUCAAUUUUAACAUAUAUACCAUUUUCUCAAUUUUAAUAUUCUAAUCAAUCAAAUUAGUGAUAUUUGUUGUGAAUGUGAUUGGUAGCUAUUAUCAAAGGCAUAUGAUAAAAUUGGGGAAAAAACAAAUUGAAUAAUUUCAAUAGGAUUGUCUCUACAUGAUGAAGUUAUUCUAUUUAUUUUUAAAAUACUAUUUUACCCAUUUUUCCUAUACAUCCUCUAAAAUUUUGUAUAAAAUAAAAUAAUUUGAUUUUGUAUAAGAACACUUAAAAAUGUUGAUGGGAACGUGAAAUAUUAGGAUGACACUUAAACACCAAAUGACAUACUUGUGAUGCAAUAUUAAGAAAUUAUCAUAAUAUUUUACGAUUUGUCUCUACUAUAUAUGUAGUCACCUAUAAAUGUCAAUUUUAAAAAUAUUUAAUGAUCAAAGAAAAUUAAGUGAGAUAUAAUUAAAAAAAUCUAAAAAUUUUAUUUGCCCAUUCUAACAUAAUAGAUAUUCAUACUACUAAUUUUAUUGAGAUGAGAUACCUAGUUGAUAUAGUGUCCUUGCUUUUACGUAAAAUUAGACAUUAGAUUUACUUAAAUUAUUUUCAUAAUAGUGGCAUAUUUAUAAAAUAUAUGAAACUAAUUAAAUUGAAUAAUUGAGAUAACUAUGAAUAUAAGUAGGACAUUAAUGCUCCGCGUUUUAUUGAAAUAUUAUAGAAGAAGCAUUAUUUCGGUUUCAUAUCUAAAGUUUAUUUUUUUUUUUUUCCAACUCCAAUUGGUGUAUAUAGAUCCGAUUUUGUAGUGAAGGCCGGCAGCCAAUAGGAUUUCCUUCACAGAAAAGAAUGGACACAUGAACUACACAGAAACCAGACCAAGAAAUGAGUGUGGUGUUCUCUCCUGCCUUGGCUGGAAUUCCCACAUCACAACUGCCCUUCUUCACUCCAAAACCAGGUUCUUUUCUCUUUUCCUGUUUCUCAAUUCCCACAAUUCUCAUUCAUACUUAUUGUAAUUUCCCCCUUGUUCAGUUUUAAUAUGUCCGUAUCCUAAUUGAUCUUCAAUGCUCUUAGUCAAGUCCAAGAGUUGCAGAUUGAUUUCUUGGGACGUCAAUUCCAUUACUAAUUGCAGUAAUAAUAGUAGCUAGAGAGCUCAAUUGCCGUUCAAUUCUCAGGUCACAAGGUCAAAUAUUAUUAUUCUUGUAUAAGAGAAAAUAAUUUUAAAUCUUUUUGUUUAAAAAAAAAAAAAAUUAGUUCGGCUUUUUCAAAUAUAUUCAUCCCACAACUUCUUAUCCUAAGUUUCCCAAAAAUAUAUGAUAGAAUAUUUAUCUUAUAUAUUAAAAAUAUUUAAUUACAAAGGUCUUUUAGUCUUUUUUAUAUGGAAAUAAUAUGAAUUGCUUUCUUGAAACAUAAACUUGCAGCAAGGGAAGUGGUUGUCAUGGUCUACAUUUUUUCAGAGCUGGGUGUUCUGCAUUGAAAAGAAUCAGGUAGAUGCCAAUACAAGAGACUUGAGCCGUGUACUGAAAAAGAGUUGCUUGACUUGGUGUGUUUGUAAGAAAAAUGGAUUAUUAUUAUUAUUAUUAUUAUUGCAAUGUGAAAAAUAGAUGUACCAUUACAUUAAAAUGUAAAUGUAGAUUCUAAAAUUUGUCUUUAAUUUAUUUUUAGAUUUUGAACCUAAUUUUAUCCUUAAAUUUCAAUCCAAUUACUUGAUUUUUAUUUUCGAUUUACUUGUAACAUUUAAAUAUUAAUUUAUAUUAUUUUAUUUUAUUUCUAUUUCAUAUUUUAUUUUAUCUUUUAUUUUCUUUUUUUCUUUUUUCUUUUUCCCUUCACUUCCCUCUUCUCACUUAUCCUCACGUACCCACACUUUUACGGGCCUUACCUCUCACGUCAGGAGACACGUCUCCUCUCAUCUCUUUUCCUUUUUUUCUCUCUCCAUUUUUUCUUCCUUUUUCUUCCCCUCAUUUUUUUUUUCUUUCUUUCCCCUCAUUUUUUCCCUCUCUUUCUCUUCUUCCUCUCGCCCAUCACUCUACCCACACCUCCGGCACGGCACCAUCUCCCCUACUCCCCCAUCUUUCUCCAUUUUUUUUUCUCUCUCAACCCAAACCCACUACACUACACCACCUAUUGCGCCAGUCACCGUGGACCAGUGGGCGACGCCACCUCCGACAGCCAACGACCACCUCCCAAUCCCCUCAUCUCAUCUAUCGUCUCAUCGCUUUUUCAUUUUUAUUUUAUUUUAUUUUGUUUUAUUUUCACAACAUACAGCAUCCAACAACCUUCCUUCAUCUCCAAAAAAUGUGUAAGUUUAUUUAUGUAUUUUUUUUUUUUUUUUGCUUUGAUUUCAAUAAUAAUUGUUAGUAAGAUUUGGGAUUGUUAAUUAACAUUAAACUUGGAUCCAUUUGUUAUUGGUGAAAUUUGUUGGAUGAUAUUUAAUAUGAUAAUAUUGUGGUAUAUUUUUGUUACAUUUAGGAUUUAUAUAUUAAAUUGGGCUUAAUUUAUUAAAUUAGGUUUGGAUGAUGAGAUAUUAAAUUUUUAUACUUAAUUGAAUUUAUUUUAUUUUAUUACAUUUUGAGCUUCAUGAUUAUGUUUGUAUUUAAUUUAGAAUUUUGAACUAAGGCUUAUAACAUGUAAGAUAUUUUUGAUGGGCUUUAUUUAUCAAUUUAGGCCCAAUUUUAUUGACGAAAUUUAUUGAACUAAUUUGAUAUUGCUUUUGGGCUUAUUAAAAAACUUUGUACAUUUUUAAAAAUUUAUUUUGGGCUGAUUUUUGUUUUGUUGUGCCCAUUCCUCAAUUUAUUUGUUUAAUAAAAAUUGUUAAGAAAAUUGAUUUUUUUAAAAAUAAAAUUGUCCACAAGGUUAAUUUUUAAUAAAAUUGUUAGAAAAUGAUUUUUAAAUAAAUCCUCUUUCCUUAAUUAGAAUGAGAUUAAAAGUAAUUUUUCUUAAUUGGGGUUUUAAAUAAUUUUUUUUAAUGAGAAUAGGAUCAGGGUCAUUUUCGUAAAUAAAGUUUGUAAAGAAAUUAAUUAUUUUGUAACUAAAAUCAAAUUGAAAUACUUUUCUAAAUAAAGUUGUAAAAAUCCAUUCUUUUUUUAGUAAAAGCAGGUAAAAAUCAUUUUUAUUGUCAAAUUAAUUUUUUUUUAAAUUCUUUUAAUAACAGUAAGUGUAAAUAACUUUCUCAAAACAAGAAUUGAAUCAAAUCACUUCUUGAAAAUAAAUUAAAACCUUUUUGAUAAAUAAAUAAAUUAAAAUCAUUAAUUUGAAAUUAUUUUUAAUGGACUCCUUCAGAAUUUCUAGAAAAACCAAUUUUUGAAAUAUCAAUUUUUAAAUUAGUUUAAUAAAUUAAUUUGCUUAAUUCUCAUGUCAUUUGUUUUGUACAUUCUUAUGAUAUGACUUUAUCAUUAUGUUUAUGUAUAUUUAUUUGUGUGACCUUAAUCUUGAUAUUCAUAAUUAAUUAAUUAAUUAUCACAAUUUCCUCACACUGUAGGUAUAUGAGUUUAGAGGUAUGUUAUGACUUAUCAUUAUAUCUUCUCGAUAGGUAACUUGACCUUGAAGGUAAACUUAGUUUUUGCAGAUAUGUCUUUUCCAAAUAAAAAAUCAUAUAAAGUUUUCUUUCUUAUUUUAUCUUUUUUUUAAAAAUAAAUUAAAAUAAGUGGUAAAUCCAAUUUUUUUUUAUAAAUAAAAAAUAAAAAAUUUGACAAAUAAAAAAUAAGUCUUACUGUUGGAGUGGGGACACAUGUGGAAAACACGGGUCCAUAGUAAAUUUGAAAAGACAAUCUCCAAAGUUGGCUUUACCAUUAUUAUUAUUAUUUUUUUAAUUUAUUAAAGAUCAAUUAAAAAAAUAUAAUAAAUUUAUAGGGCGCUAAUGGAUGAAAUAGUCAAGUGUAUUUACAACAAAUCUCAAGAGGUCCAAAAUAUGUUUUUUUUUUAAAUAACUGAAAAAAAAACAAAUGAAAAUAAAAUAAAAUAUAAAAUAUAAACCCUUCAUCACUGAUACAAAGGACAAAAAUUUAGAAGAAAAAUGUUUCAUCAUUACCUUCUCUAAUUAAAAAAAAAAAAAAAAAAAAAAAAACCUACAUUUGUUUUAGCCAUAAUAAUCAAAGAAAAAAAGGUAAAAGAGGAAAAUGGAAGGUAAAAAAUGAAAGUUUCCGAUCAAAAUAUAUAUAUAUAUAUAUAUAUUUUCUAAAUUCUCAAUCUAAACUUGUGUUAAAAAUAUUUGUCAAAGUAGUAUGUCCAUACAACAUCAAGUUUCACUUUAUUAUUAUUAUUAUUUGUUUUAAAACUAUAAUUAUUAAAUGUGAUUUUAGUUUUAAAACUAUAGUAAUGAGGGUAAAACCAAUAUUGGUAACUAUAGUUUUAAAUUUAAACCUAAAACCAUAGUUGAUAACCGUAAUUUUUAUAUUAAACAAAAAAAGUUAAGUGAAUGAUUACGUUAUUACAAAGGUUAGAUUGGUAAAUAUUUGGGAGAAAAUCUAUUUUCAUUAUUUUUUUUUUCAAAAGCACUUGAGAAAUGAUGUAAAUAUAUUAAUUUCAUACGUGCACUUAGUUAUUUUUUAAAAUUUAUAAAAAUAUUAAGGUAAGGAUAUUUUGUAAGUUGAAUACACGUUCACACGUUCUCACUUCAUGAUGUGGUCCAACACUUUGACCACGUCCUCCACCAUCUCACUUCCGCUGCGGUUAAGGAGCCAGCAACUGCUCAACAUGGUGGCAAGAACAACGUGGUAUGAUGGAAGCCACGAAUAUAAAGAUUUUAAAAGGAAAAAAUGGUCCCGAACUCGUCUGCUAUUAUCUUCAGAAACACCAUCUAAACAAAGAUAGAUUAGAGUUUGGAAAUCAAGUUUUUUGAAACCGACUACAAUGACUGGAGGUAAGUAGACUAUUCUUAGUCUUUUUCAGUUUUGAUUCAUAUUGCAAAUCCAUUGGAAUCAUAUAUAUAUAUAGCAUGUAAACAACUUACAUUUGGUAUCAGAGCACGUUAAAUCUUACCUCUGUUUUGUAUUAAUUCUGAAUGAAAAUUCUUGUUAUUUUGAUCUCUCUAAAUUAUUUAAACAAUGGCUGCUUGAGGCGAUCCAAAGGGUUGGCGUAAUUCUUUCAGAAAACGCCAUUACAGGCAGCCAUUCAGGCGCCGUUUUCGGGUGCUUCAGCGGUGCUGUUAAGGCGCCAUUGGAGACACCAUUGGGAGUGCAUUUUGGGGCUGCAACCAGCGCCAUUUUCAGGUGCCAUACCAGCCCCGUUCAGGCACCACUUGCAGCACCAUUGAAAGUCCAUUUUUUGGUGCUACAACCAGUCCAUUUUCAGGCGCCAUACCAGCCCCGUUCAGGCACCACUUGCAGCACCAUUGAAAGUCCAUUUUUUGGUGCUGCAACCAGUCCAUUUUCAGGCGCCAUACCAACCCCGUUCAGGCACCACAUGCAGCACCAUUGAAAGUCCAUUUUUUGGGGCUGCAACCAGUCCAUUUCAGGCGUUAUACCAGUGCCGUUUCAGGCGUCUUUUCGCGCCAGCAAGAGGCGCCCUUUGGGAGUGCCGUUCAGGCGCUAUUCGCAUCGGUUGGAAUUCACCAGUGAGGACUUACUUGCUGGUGAUGUUGGUAGCCGGAAGGCACUCAUGAGGCUCUUUAUGCCUCUGAUGCAGGUGGCUCCAUGGCUUGCUGGUGAUGAAGCAAUCCACAAGGGUGGCGGUAAAUUAGAACCUAGAGAGAGAAUGGGUUCUAUUAAGUGUUAGGCCAUGUAUUAAAUGGAAAUUUGGGCCUUGGUAUAAGAGGCUAUUGGGCUCAUUAAGCUCAAUGCAUGCCAAUAGCCCAUUUUACAAAAUUAUGGGCUUUAAGUUUUGGUUCAUUGAAUGAUGGUUAAAAUUGGGCCAGUUUAGGCCCUUUUUGGCCCGAUUUGAAUUUUUAUUUUAAUUUUAUUGGGCAUAGAAUUGAUUGUGUUUUAUUUGGAUUUAGGCAUUCAUUCAUAAUCUGAAACCUUUAAAUUAUUAUUAUUAUUUUUAAAUUAUCAUGUAAAUUUUAUACAUGCAAAAUAAAUAAUUAUAUAUUGUUUUAUAUGUUUGUAGCCUAAAUUAAAGUUGUAGCUCUUAAUGCAUGCAAUUAUUGCCUGAAUUGGAGUUAGAUAUAUUAAAAUUAUAUCAUAUAGUUUUAAUGUCUAGUGAAACCAUAUGAUUUUUUAAAUAAUUAAGGAAUAGCCAUAGCAUCCUUAAUUAUAUAAAAAUUAUAUAUUAAGUAAAUAAGGAUCACAUUAUGGACAUUAAUUGUAAUUAAUUAUAUAAAUAUGGUGAUUUUGCCCCAUAGGGUUUUCAUUAUGUUUAUAUAAUUAAUUAGGAUAAAAUAUUAAAAUUAAUUUUUCCUAAUUUACCCACAGGAGUUAGGAAGAAUUAAUUUAAUAGGUUUAUCAUAAAGAUUAUAGACAUAAAAUAUCAAACUAUAUUCAUAAUAAAUUUCAUAAUUCAAUAAAAUAGUUUGAUAAAGUCUAUCAUAAAGAUAAUUAAUUUGAUUGAAUUAAAGAUUUAGCCCACAGGCAAUUUUUAAUAAAAUUAGAUUAAAUUUUAAGCAUGUUCUACAUUGGUAAAGCAUGACUUUAUAUUAAAGCCUCAAAAUUUUUUAAUAAGCUUGUAAUCCUUUUGUGCAGUUUUACCUAGCAUAUCUGAUAUUCGUUGUGAGGCUCCCGAACUUAGAGGAGAUAACUUUAAGAUAUGGAAGGAGAUAAUUCUUCUUCAAUUAGGGUGCAUGGACAUAGACUAUGCCAUAAGGAAAGAUGAACCACAUAAGAUCACUGAUACCAGCACACCUGAAGAAAUACUAUUGUACGAACACUGGGAGAAAUCUAAUCGGUUCAGCGUGAUGUACAUAAAGACAAAAAUUAGUGCUGGUAUACGUGGUUUGAUCGAGCAACAUGAGAAUGUCCGCGAAUUGCUCAAGGCUAUUGACGAGCAAUUCGUCACUUCAGAUAAAGCCUUGGCAAGCACCCUAAUUAUGAAGUUCACAUCCUUGAAGCUCACCGCUAUAAGAGGUGUGCGUGAACAUAUCAUGGAGAUGAGGGACAUUGUGGCUCAAUUGAAGAAACUCGAGGUAGAAAUGUCUGAAUCCUUCUUGGUGCACUUUAUCCUUAACACUCUUCCACUUCAGUAUGGACCUUUCAAAAUCUCUUACAACACACAUAAGGAUAAGUGGUCUAUCAAUGAAUUGAUGAUCAUGUGUGUUCAAGAGGAAGGAAGGUUAAUGAUGGAACAAGGAGAAAGUGCCAUGCUGGUGACGCAAAGGAAAGGAAAGAAAGGAAAAUCUCAAGCUAGUCAAAAAGGGAAGCAACAAAUUUCUCCUAAAUCUGACAUUAAGAAAGACGAAAAGUGUUUUUUCUGUAAAAAGAAAGGACACGUGAAGAAGAAAUGUCUGAAAUUUCAGAAUUGGCUUGAGAAGAAAGGUAACCCUACCUUAUUUGUUUGUUAUGAAUCUAAUAUGGUUAAUGUAAACACCAACACAUGGUGGAUUGAUUCUGGAUCUACAAUCCACAUUUCAAAUUCCUUGCAGGGUAUGCAAAACCUAAGGAAGCCAGUGACAAGUGAGCAAUUCAUCUUAUCCGGAAACAAGAUGGGCUCGCAUGUGGAAGCAAUAGGGACAUGUUAUUUAACUUUAAAUAGUGGUUUUGUUUUAGAAUUGCAAAAGACCUUUAUGUACCAAGUUUCUCACGAAACUUGAUUUCAGUUUCUAGACUUGUACCGUUUGGAUAUUCCUUUCAUUUUUCAGAAACAUCUUUUAGUUUGAUUUAUAAAUCUGAUUGUGUUGGGAAUGGUAUCUUGUCUGAUGGUCUUUAUUGUAUAUUCUUACAAAAUGAUACCGCUCAUAAUUCAUUACAUGUCCAAACUGGCAUUAAGAGAUGUGUUGUAAAAGAGGAUUCCUCUACAUUGUGGCACCGGAGAUUAGGUCAUAUCUCCAUAGAUAGAAUCAAAAGAUUGGUGAAUGAUGGGGUACUUAGUACUCUAGAUUUUACUGACUUUGAGACUUGUGUGGACUGCAUUAAGGGAAAGCAGACCAACAAGUCAAAGAGAGGUGCUACUAGGAGUUCUAUCAUACUAGAGAUCAUACAUAUUAAUAUAUGUAGUCUUGACAUGGACUCUCAUGGUCAGAAAUACUUCAUCUCUUUCAUAGAUGAUUUCUCACGAUACAUGUAACUCUACAUACUUCAUAAUAAAAAUGAAGCUUUAGAUGCCUUUAAAGUCUUCAAGGCAGAAGUAGAGAAACAAUAUGGUAAACAAAUUAAGAUCGUGAGAUUAGAUAGAGGUGGAGAAUAUUAUGAUAGAUACUUGGAAGAUGGACAAUCACCUGGGCCAUUUGCGAAGUUUCUUCAAGAGCAUGGGAUUGUUGCCCAAUACACCAUGCCUGGUUCUCCAGACCAAAAUGGUGUAGCAGAAAGAAGAAACCGAACUUUAUUGGACAUGGUGAGGAGUAUGCUUAGCAGCUCAAAACUUCCUAAAUUCUUGUGGACUGAAGCACUUAAGACAACUGUGUAUAUAUUAAACCGAGUUCCAACCAAGGCUGUCCUAAAAACGCCAUUUGAGUUAUUGAAAGGUUGGAAACCGAGUUUGCGACAUAUGCGCGUUUGGGGAUGCUCGUCUGAAGUGAGAAUUUAUAAUCCACAAGAGAAGAAACUGGACCCAAGGACUAUUAGUGGGUAUUUCAUUGGAUAUGCUGAAAAAUCCAAGGGGUAUAGGAUUUACUGUCCAUCUCACAGCACUAGGAUUGUGGAAUCAAGAAAUGCUAAAUUUCUUGAAUAUGACUUGGUCAGUGGGAGCGAUCAAUUUAGAAACAUAGUUUCUGAUAUUGAUCAUACAGAGUCUCAACCUUCCACUUCAAGCGAUAGAUUGUUUAUUGUUCAUAACACCCCUCAAGUACAAACAGGUGUUGAAUGAACAAUCGAUGAAGUUCAACCAGUCAUUGAAGUUCCACAAGUUGUUGACAACAUUCCAGUAGACCAAGUUGAUCAGGAAUUGCCUAACACUUCUGAACAACAAGUUGAACCUCAUACUUCCUCGGAAGAUAUUGGUGCAACCUUAAGAAGGUCUGCUCGAACUAAGAGGUCAGCAAUUCCUAGUGAUUAUGUAGUGUAUCUACAAGAAUCUGACUAUAAUAUAGGAACCGAAAAUGAUCCCGAAUCAUUUUCACAAGCCAUGAGUUGUAAAGAAUCAGAAUUGUGGUACAAUGCCAUGAAGGAUGAGAUGAGUUCCAUGAAGUGCAACGAUGUUUGGGACCUUGUUGAGUUGCCUAAUGGUGCAAAAACCAUUGGUUGUAAAUGGGUUUUUAAGACAAAGAAAGACUCAUUAGGCAACAUUGAGAGAUACAAGGCCAGACUUGUUGCAAAGGGUUUCACUCAUAAAGAAAGAAUCGAUUACACGGAAACCUUUUCUCCUGUAUAUAAGAAAGAUUCUUUACGCAUUAUAUUGGCAUUAGUAGCCCACUUUGAUUUGGAAUUGCAACAAAUGGAUGUGAAAACAACAUUUAUUAAUGGAGAGCUAGAGAAGGAGGUUUACAUGAAACAACCUGAAGGAUUCCCCUCUAGUGAUGGUGAGCAAUUGGUUUGUAAGUUUAAGAAAUCCAUAUACGGUUUAAAACAAGCAUCCCGCCAAUGGUAUUUAAAAUUCCAUAACAUAAUUUCUUCAUUUGGUUUUGAAGAAAAUGUUAUGGAUCAAUGCAUAUACCUUAAGGUCAGUGGGAGUAAAGUUUGUUUUCUUGUUUUAUACGUGGAUGACAUCUUACUUGCAACCAAUGAUAAGGGUUUACUUCAUGAGGUGAAACAAUUCCUCUCUAAAAAUUUUGACAUGAAGGAUAUGGGUGAGGCAUCUUAUGUCAUUGGCAUUAAGAUCCAUAGAGAUAGAUUUAAAGGUAUCUUAGGUUUGUCUCAAGAAACCUAUAUCAAUAAAGUUUUAGAGAGAUUUCGGAUGAAGAAUUGUUCACCUAGUGUUUUCCCUAUAGUGAAGGGUGAUAGGUUCAAUCUGAACCAAUGCCUGAAAAACGAUCUUGAGAGGGAACAAAUGAAGAAAAUUCCAUAUGCUUCUGUAGUCGGAAGUUUGAUGUAUGCUCAGGUCUGCACAAGGCCUAACAUUGCAUUUGCUGUUGGAAUGUUAGGACGAUAUCAGAGUAACCCAGGUAUAGACCACUGGAAAGCUGCAAAGAAAGUGAUGAGAUAUCUUCAAGGAACCAAAGAUUACAAUCUUAUGUACAGACGAACAAGCAAUUUAGAGGUAGUUGGCUACUCAGAUUCAGACUUUGCUGGCUGUGUUGAUUCAUGUAAAUCAACAUCUGGAUACAUUUUUAUAUUGGGCGGUGGAGCUAUAUCUUGGAGGAGAGUUAAGUAGACCAUGACUGCUACUUCUACUAUGGAAGCUGAGUUCAUAUCUUGUUUUGAGGCUACUUCACAUGGUGUAUGGCUUAAGAGUUUCAUUUCCGAGCUUAGAGUUAUGGAUUCAAUAUCUAGGCCAUUGAGUAUAUAUUGCGACAAUUCAGCUGCAGUCUUUAUGACGAAGAACAAUAAAAGUGGAAGUCGAAGCAAACACAUCGACAUUAAGUAUCUAGCCAUAAGAGAACGUGUUAAAGAAAAGAAAGUGGUUAUUGAGCACAUUAGCACUGAAUUGAUGAUCGUUGAUCCUUUGACUAAGGGCAUGCCACCAUUGAAAUUCAAGGAUCAUGUAGUGAACAUGGGACUUAGUUCCCUUAUGUAGUUUCUAUUGUACAAACUCUUAUUAUGAUGUUUUCUCAUAUUGAUGCGCAUUUUUUAUUUAAUUUUGAGAAAAUUCAACUUCAUUGGACCAAGAAUGAACAUAGGGUUUAUUCAUUAAGUAAUAUUGCCACAUAAAGUAUAAUGUUAAGAAAUGAGUACACUGUAAUACAUGGAAGGUAACACUCGUUAAAUAGAGGACUUAUCGCCAUGAUUCAUGUAUUUGUUACUUAAUGGGACAAUUGAUGGACUGAAUUAGGACAUUAGGUUAAAGGUGUGGACCAAGUGGGAGAAUGUAAGCUAAAUACACGUUCACACGUUCUCACUUCAUGAUGUGGUCCAACACUUUGACCACGUCCUCCACCAUCUCACUUUCGUUGCGGUUAAGGAGCCAGCAACUGCUCAACGUGGUGGCAAGAACAACGUGGUAUGAUGGAAGCCACGAAUAUAAAGAUUUUAAAAGGAAAAAAUGGUCCUGAACUCGUCUGCUAUUAUCUUCAGAAACACCAUCUAAACAAAGAGAGAUUAGAGUUUGGAAAUCAAGUUUUUUGAAACCGACUACAAUGACUGGAGGUAAGUAGACUAUUCUUAGUCUUUUUCAGUUUUGAUUCAUAUUGCAAAUCCAUUGGAAUCAUAUAUAUAUAUAUAUAUAGCAUGUAAACAACUUACAUAUUUUAGUUAUUAUGCUUUAAAAAUAGUAAUUAUGCUUCCUAUAUAAAAUAAAAUAUAUUUUAAUCUUUUUAUUUUGAAAAUAAACAAUGGUGUUGUUUUUCAAAUAUUUCAAUUCUAUUACACCUUGUCCCAACUUUUCCAAAAAUACAACAUAGAAGAUAGAAAGAGUUUUAUCUCAUAUAUUUAAAACAUUUAAAUUAGGAAGGUUUUUUAGAUAGGAAAUAAAAUCAGAUUAGGUGAUGAAUAAGUGAAUAUAAAUUGCUUUUUUUUUCAUAUGUAAACUUGGAGCAAGGGAAUAGGCUGUUAUUGUCUAGUUUUUCUGUCGGGUUAGAAGACAGCUAGGUGGAUGGUCAGCAAGAGAAGCCCGUGGACACCAAUAUUUUUAAUCUAUAUUUAAUAUAUAUAUAUAUAUAUAUAUAUAUAUAUAUAUAUAUAUAUAUAUAUAUAUAUAUAUAUAUAUAUAUUGAAAAUAAUUUUUGUAUUCAGUACUUUAUUUUGAAUUAUUUUUCAUAUUUAUAUAAAUAUUUUUAAAAGCACUUAUAUUGAUUCUAAAACCAAAAAUAAAAAUAAAAAAUAUAUCCAAAUGUAAUCAUAGUAAUUAUCAUAAUGUUUUAUUUGAACUUUAAAUAAUUUUAAAAAAUUCUUAAAAUUUUAUUUAACUUUUAUAAUUUGUUAUCGUCUAUAUUUUGUUUUUGUCAAGUCUUCAUCUACAUUUAUGUAACAUUCUGUGGUCUAUCAAAGAUUCUCAAAUUUUUUUAUUUCAUUCUCAUUUUAAUUGUUUUGGUUUGUUUUCAUCAAGUCUUUAUCUAGUCUUAUGCAAGGAUGAAAAUAUUGAUAAUUAUGGAUAUAUCGGUACUUCGAUUUUACGGAUAUAUUGAAAAUAUAUCGGGCGGAUAUUUUGGAAAAAAAUAUCGAUAAGGUUAAAAUUGAUCAAAAUUUAUAAACAUACAAGAAAACUUCAUAAAAAUGUAAUUAGAAGUAUAAUAGAUAUUUUAAAGUUGUUUUAUUAAAGAAUUUGAUAUAUGUAUAAUAUGAUUUAUCAUAUUUGAUAAUAAUAACGUAUGCAUCGAUAAAAAUAUGAAUUUUAUAAAUGUACAUUUAUUAUUAAAUUAAAUUAAAUAUUAUUUCAUAAUAAUAUUAUGAUAUUUGAUUAUAAUAUGUCUAACUUAAAAAUAUAUAUUAAUAUUAAAAUUAUGAUCCAUUUAAUUCAAUUGUAUUAAAUGAUAUAAAAUAAAUUAUGAUAUAUGUAUAAUUUUUUAAUAUUUAAUUAAUUUAUUAAUGAUAUUAAAAACACUAUGAAGAAAAUUAUUGUGAUAAUUUUUAUAAUAUCAAAACUUAAAAAAAUAUAAAAUAAAAACUCUUAUAAAUGAAAUUAAAAGCGUAAUAGACAUUUUAGUGUUUUUUUUUUAAUAAAUUGAUAUACAUAUAUAUAUAUAUAUAUAUAUAUAUAUAUAUAUAUAUAUAUAUAUAUAUAUAUAUAUAAUAUUGUACAUGUUAAUAAAAAAUAUAAAUUUGAUAAGUGUACAUUGAUUAUUAAAUUAUAUAAAAUAUUAUUUGAUGAUAAUAUUGUGAUAUGUGAUUAUAAUAUGUUUAAUUUUAAAAUCUAUUUAAUAUUAAAAUUCUGAUAUAUUAUAAAUAAAUUAUGAUAAAUGUAUAAAUUUUUAAUAUAUUAAUAAUAUUAAAAACACUAUGAAUAAAAUUAUGAUAUAUUUUUACUAAUCAAUUAAAUGAAAAUUUUUCAUUCAAUUAUAAAAUAGUUAUAAUUAAUUUGUUAUUUAAAGUGUUUUUUUUAAUAUUUUAUUUAUAUCAUAACUUUUGAUAUAUAUUUCUUUAGUGCAUAUUAUAUAUUAAAGGGCACGUUUGCCCUAGUGGAGCUGGGGAUGUAUGUUGAACGCAGCAAAAAAAAGCUCAAUUUUGAGCUUUGAUCGCAUUGACUAGUCGUUGACCACCGAUAUAUCCAUGCUAUAUAUCGUUUCGCCACCCACCGAUACACCGAUAUUUCGACGAUAUUUUCUUCCUUGGUCUUAUGUAAUAUUUUGUAGUCUUCCAAAGAAUCUUGAAAAUUUUUAUCCCAUUCUCAUUUUAAUUGUGUUGUUAUGUUUUCAUCAAGUCUUUAUCUAGUUUAAUAAUAAAUCAACAUAUUCAUACUAUGUAAAUAAUACGUAAUUUAAUUUGUUGACUCAUUUUGAAGUCAACUAAUAUGACUUUAUAACUUAAUUUAAGUCAUUUGUUAAUUAAUUGAUUAAUAGAUCAAAGUCUUUAAAAAAAAAAUUAAAGAAAAAAACUAUGAAAAAUAUAGGGAAAAUUGGAUAAGAAGUCAUUUUUUUCAUAUUAGAAAUGAAAUUUUUUUAGUAUAUGUAUCCUUUCUCUAUUCAUUAUUUAUUCAAAUGCAACUUCUCUAUUUAUUUUUCCAAUUUGAUAAUAGCAUUAUGCGAUCAAAGAAUUGCAUGAGAUUGAUACAUAAUGCAUUGUGAUAUUUGAAUGACAUUAUUGAUCUUAACUAUGUCAUAAUGAAAUACUUUUUUCUUCAAAUACUAAAAUUUGACAUCCCUUCUUUUUUCAUUUUUACUCUAUAAUUUCUUAUAACUUAUCAAUUUAUAAUAAUGAUGAUAAUAAUAACAAUGAAAAUAAUAGUAAUGAUAAUAACAGAGAAAUCCUUCUAAUUUCUUUUUAAAAAUUAGAAGGAUUUUUAUGCACAUAAUCAAUCCAUUGUCAAAGCAAAUUGAAUUAUUUCACAAUGUGGUGAAGAUCGAUAAUGAAUUUAUUGAGUAUUUUUAAAAGUCCUACCUUAUCUAUUUUCCAAAGUAUUUAAAAUUUUGUAUAAAAUAAAAUUAUUUAAUCAUGUAUAAGAAGAGCACUAAAAAAUAUUGGUGGGAGAGUGGAAAUGGUAUCAUGGCACCCAAACACCCAAUGACAUACAAGUGAUGCUUAUUAAGUCAUAUUUUUUAAAAAACAAUAUUCUUAAAAUUAAAUAAUAUUGAUGAACUACAAGUAAUAUCGGUUAGUCAUAUGCUGGGAUAUAAAGUAAAUUCUUAUUACCUAACCUGUAUAGCUUCCACUGCGGGAGCCAAGUUGGAUCUAACAAAUAGAGUUUGUCAACAUUUUCAAUCACCCACCGGAGAUCAAGCUUAUAUCGCAUUACUUAAAAGGGACUCUUGAUCAUGGUCUUUGAACCUCUCGUAAUUAAAAAAAUUUCACAUUGUCUUGCUUAUGUGAUGCAAAUUGAGUAGGAUGUCCGAUUACUAAGGCUAUGUUUGGUUCUCAGAAAAUUUGAGGGAAAAUGCAAGGGAAAGAAAAUACGAAGAAAAAAUAGAAGAAAAGAAAAAGUGAAGGAAAAUAAAAAAUGGAUUAAAAGUUGAUAAGUUAUUUUUAUUUUUUACUUCAAACUCAUUUUAUUUAUUUUAACUCAUUAAUAUAAAGAUUAAAUAAUUUUAAAAUACAUAAGUUUUUAAUUAGUUUUAAUUAUAUUUGAUUUUCUUUUAUAUUUUUCAUAAGACAACCAAACAUGAAAAAAUUAUUUUCCUUUGCAUUUUUUUUCCUUCCUUAGUAUUUUCCGGGAACCAAACAUAACCUAAAAGAAGCUCCAGAAGCUACUGCAUUUUUAUGGCGUCAAUUGUAUUUUAUGAUCAUCUAAGAACCAACCUACUGUUGCUCGAUCAAGUGGUAAAGCUGAAUAUCGGUCCUUGGCCUCCAAUACAACACUCACUUGCAUUUCUUUCUUAGUUCAUGAAAUCGGUAUUUCUUUUUCAAAUCCUUUAUAACAUCUUUGUGACAACAUGAAAAAAAAAAAAUUGAGAUAUUCAUGCUAAUAAGAGUGUUAAGUUGCGAUAGUGAUAAAACAUCUUUGAUUUUAUAUAAAAUUAGACGUCACAUUUACUUAAUUUUUUUAAUAGUAGCAUAUUUUUUUUAAAAUGAUACUAUUUAAAUUGAAUAAUUUAGGUGAACUAUGAAUACAAGUACAACGUUAAUGCUCCUCAUUUUAUUGAAAUAUAAUAUAUCAUUAACAGUUUUGAAUAUUCAGCAUGUUAGUCAAAAGCCUAGCAUUGCCUAUCUAACCUCAAUUCAAUCACUUUAGGAUUGGACUUGGGCUUACUUUCAGAGUUUAACUCUAGCCUAUGAGUUGGGCCAAGCUCGUUCAGCAUUAAACCCUAAAAAGUAGGGAUGGCAACGGGGCGGGUUUUUUCAGGCACCCGCCCCGCCCCGCCCCGCCCCUACCCUAAUGGGACGGGGUUGAAAUUUAAUAAACAGGUUUUUAACGGGUAUGAGAUUUUUUUUUUAAACCCGGGGCGGGUUCGGGACGGGUUCGGGUAUUGCCCCAUCCCGCCCCGCCCCACCCCGUUUACAUAUAAAAUCAAUUUUAAAAUUUAAUUUAAUUUAAAUUUUAAAAUUAAUUUUAUUUUACUAUUUUUAAUAUAUAGAUAAUAAUAAUAAAAAAUUAAUAAAAUAAGUUAUAAAAAAUAUAAUAAUUUUAUUAUUUAUAAAUAUAUUUAUUUUAAUGUAAUUAAAAAUUUUAAAAGCAAAUUUUUAAAAAAAUUAAAAAAAAAAAAAAAAAAAAAAAAAAAAAAAAGGAGGCUAAACGAGGCGGGUUUGGGAAUUUCCCAUACCCGCCCCGCCCCGUUUAAUUUUUUAAACGGGACGGGGAUGGGAAUUAUUUUUAAUAAACGGGGCGGGGUUGGGAUGGGGGCAACGGAAUUUCUCAUACCCGCCCCGUUGCCAUUCCUACUAAAAAGGGGUUGAUUUUGUUGACACCCUCUUAGAUUUAGUAUAAAUAUAUUAAGUUAUUAUUGAUUUUAAACUUCAUUAAUUAGACAACACUCUUAUAAAUAUAUUUUAAAUAUAAAAUUUAUCUUUUAGAGAAUAAAUUAAUUUAUUUUUAAAAGACACACCUACAUAAUUUUCUUUUAUAAAAGAUUUCUCUAAAAAAUAUAUUUUAUAAAUAUAAUAAAUUUAUAAAGUGCUAAUUAAUGAAAUUUAAAACUAAUAACAGUUAAAUAUAUUUACAACAAAUCUCAAGAGAUCUCAAUGAAAUUAACCCUAAAAAUAAAUAUGAUCUAAAUAUGCUUUAAAAAAAUAAAUGAAAAAAAUAAACGAAAAUAAAAUAAAAUAUAAAAUAUAAACCCAUCAUCAUUGAUAUAGAAGACAAAAAUUUAGAAGAAAAAUGAUUCAUCAUUAACUUCUAAAAUAAAAUAAAAUUUUUUAAAUAAAAAAAAAGCCCUACAUUUGUUUCAGUCAUGAUAAUCGAAUGAAAAAUGAUGUAAAUACAUUAAUUUCAUGUGUGCACUUAGUUAUUUUAGUUAUUAUGUUUUAAAAAUAUGAAUUAUGCUGCUUAUAUAAAAUAAAAUACAUUUUAAUCUUUUUGUUUUGAAAAAAACAAACGGUCUUGUUUUUCAAAUUUUCAAUUCUAUUACACGGUCUGCCAAUUUUUCCAAAAAUACGUACAUAGAAGAUAAGAUAGAAAAAGUUUUUAUGUCAUAUAUUAAAAAUACUUAAAUUAGGAAGGUCUUUUAGAUAGGACAGAAAAUCAGAUUAAUGUGAUGAAUAAUUGAAUAUAAAUUGUUUUCUUCAGACGUAAACUUGCAGCAAGGGAAUAGACUGUCAUUGUCUACAUUUUUUGUUAGGUUAGAAGAGAGCCAGGUGAGUGGUCAGCAAGAGAAUCACGUAGACACCAAUAUUGCAGAUUUUAGCCGUGGACUGAAAAAGACUGGCUUGACUUGGUGUGUGUUUCUGGGGGGGCGGGGAGUCUUCAAACGUAAACUUGCAGCAAGGGAAUAGACUGUCAUUGUCUACAUUUUUUGUUAGGUUAGAAGAGAGCCAGGUGGUGGUCAGCAAGAGAAUCACGUAGACACCAAUAUUGGAGAUUUUAGCCGUGGACUGAAAAACACUGGCUUGACUUGGUGUGUGUUUCUGGCGGGGGCGGGGGAGUCUUCAGACGUAAACUUGCAGCAAGGGAAUAGACUGUCAUUGUCUACAUUUUUUGUUAGGUUAGAAGAGAGCCAGGUGGGUGGUCAGCAAGAGAAUCAUGUAGACACCAAUAUUGGAGAUUUUAGUCGUGGACUGAAAAACACUGGCUUGACUUGGUGUGUGUUGGGAGGGGGGGGGGGGGAAGUUUAAAAAUAAAGCACUUUUAUUUUUUGGAAACAAGAGAAGUAGUACCAAAGUAUUUUGUAUAAAAAUACAAGGUAAAUUCCUAUCUUAUGUAUAGUUCCUAAUUUUAAGAAGAAAAAAUAAAAAUUAUAUCUAAACAUAACCUUUGUAAUGAUCAUAAAUGUUUUAUUUAAAUUUUAAAUUAAAUUUCUUUUAUAAAAUUUCAUAAUUUGUUAUGGUCUACAUUUUGUUUUUAUCAAAGUCUCUAUCUAGUUUUAUUACUUGUCAUUCUUUAAAUUCGAUUGAGUCUUCCAAGUCUUCUCAUUGGCCUUCUGCGUAAACGUGGUGUAGGCUUGGAAGAUUCAAUGAAUAAAUCCAUCAUUGAUACAUCAAUGGUUUUUUCUUCAACUUAUUUGACGGGAAGCCUACCUAACGUAUGGAAUCUGGGGUGGGUGCAGUUGCUUAAUGGAUCUGAAUUGCAAGCUCCUAGAAACUAUGCCCUAGUGUUCAUACACAUUUUGAACACCAAACCAAAGAGAAAUAUUAUAUGCAAGAGGAAAAUGGACAUUUACUUUUAGUGCAGUCCACCAGAAAUUAAGUCAUAAAUUACGUGGACAUUAAUAUUAAUAUUAUGUUUACAGCAGUGGUGGUAGUUACCAUCGCCAUUCAAGUGGUUGGUAUAAAUGUUUCAAUGCUUCAUGUUAGACAUGCUUAUAAAGGUGAAUUCUUUUGAAAAGGAUGAACUCAAUAUUUGACCGAGUAAUGGAUAUUCUUUCUACGAACAAGUUCAAUGGGGGUGAAUUCUUCGUAAUAUGCAACCUGAUAUUAGUUAGAUAGUAAGUGGAAAAUGACCAAGGGUCAAAGAAGUGGAAUAUUCUUAUUGGCGAAAAGAAAUAACAAGUGACAAUUUAAUAUUGAAUUUUAAAUGAAAAUAAAAUAAAAUAUAAACCCAUCAUCGUUGAUAUAGAAGGCAAAAAUUUAGAAGAAAAACGAUUCAUCGUUACCUUCUUAAGAAAAAAAGAAAAAAGCCCACAUUUGUUUUAGUUGUAAUAAUCAAAAAGAAAAAAAAGACAUCAAAAAUAAUGAAAGGUAAAAAAUGAUGUAAAUACAUUAAUUUCAUGUGUGUACUUAGUUAUUUUAGUUAUUAUGUUUUAAGAAUAUUAAUGAUGCUCCCUCUAUAAAAUAAAAUACAUUUUAAUCUUUUUGUUUUGAAAAAAACAAAUGGUGUUGUUUUUCAAAUAUUUCAAUUCUAUUACACAUUCUGCCAAUUUUUCCAAAAAUACAUGCAUUGAAGAUAAGAUAGAAAGAGUUUUAUGUCAUAUAUUAAAAAUAUUUAAAUUCAGAAGGUCUUUUAGAUAGGACAAAAAAUCAAAUUAAUGUGAUGAAUAAUUGGAUAUAAAUUGUUUUCUUUAGACCUAGACUUGCAACAAGGGGAUUGACAGUCAUUGUCUACCGUUUUCAUUAGGUUGGGAGAGAGCCAGGUGGGUAGUCAGGUCAGCAAAAGAAUCAUGAGGACACCAAUAAUCGAGGCUUUAGUCGUGGACCCCAAAAAAGUAGUUUGACUUGGUGGAUGUUUGGUAAAACAAUUUAAUAGUUGAAAGUGAUUUAAUAAUUUAAUUUAAGUUAUUAAGUAAAUUAAAUAUAUUUGAUAAAAUAAUUUAAUAAUAUGACUUAAAGUAAAAGAUAAUUAACUUAUUUUUAAUUUUGUAUCUUUAUUUUUCUUUUUUAUUCUUAUUUACCCUAAUUACCUUCCACGAUUUCUUUUACUAUUUCAUGAUCUUCAUUGUUAAUCGAUCUCUUUUACCCGAAUUAUAAUAUAUGAGAAUAAAUAUAUUAAUUUGAUGAUUUAGAAUAAAUUUUAAGUUAAUUUUAUUAAAUAAUCUUAAUACUUGAAGUAAAAAUUAAGUAAUAAGUUUUAAGUUAACAAUUUAAGUAUAAUUUAAUUUAUAAUCAACUUAAAUCAUUAAGUAAUAAGUUUAAAUUUUACUAAACACCCCCUUAGUGUGUGUUUCCGAAGAGAAAAUAGUCUCUUAUAUUGAUUCUACGAGCCAAGAACAAUUGAAAACAAGAAAAGUAGUACCAAAGUAUUUUGUAUAAGAAUACAAGGUAAAUUCUUGUCUUAUGCACAAUUUCUAAUUUUAAAAAUAAAAAAUAGAAAGUAUAUAUAAAUAUAACAUUUAUAUUUAAAAGCACUUAUAUUGAUUCUAGGAGUCAAAAAACAAAACAGAUUUUGGUUUUGGAAACAAGAGUAGUACCAAAGUAUUUUAUACAAGAAUACAAAGUCAAUUCCUAUCUUAUGUACAAUUUAUAUUUUUUAAAUGAAAAAUAGAAAAUAUAUCUACAUGCAACCUUAAUAAUUAUUAUAAAUGUUUUAUUUGAACUUCAAAUUUUCUUUUACUUCAUAAUUUAAAAUUUUUCCCUAAAAUUUUAUUUAAUUUUUAUAAUUUAUUAUUGUUUGUGUUUUGUUUUUUUAAAGUCUUUAUCUAGUUUUAUAUAAUAUUAUGUAGUUUUUCAAAGACUCUUGGAAAAUUUUAUCUUAUUCUCAUUUUGAUUGUAUUGUUUCAUUUUUCUCAAGUCUUUAUCUAGUUUUAUAACGAGUUGACAAAUUCAUACCAUGUAAAUCAUACAUAAUUUAAUUUGUUGACUCAUUAUGAAUGUUUUAUUUAACCUUUAAAUUUUCCUUUAAUCAUUUGCUUGUGAAGGGUCAUUUUUUUCAUUUUGUUAGACCUAUUUGGUUUCAUAAUAAGUCAACAAUGUGUAAAUCAUAAGUAAUUUAAUUUGUUAACUCAUUAUGAAUAUUUUAUUUGACCUUUAAAUUUUAUUUUAAUCAUUUGUAUUUGUAAGGAUGAUUCUUUUAAUUUUGUUUGACUUAUCAAGCCUCUCAUUUUCACGUGAAAUCUUGUAAAGUUUUCCAAAGCCCCUUGAAAAAUUUUGCUUCAUUCUUCAUUACUUCCACAAAGUUUUCCAAAGCUCUGUGGAAAAUAUUGCUUCAUUCAUCAUUGUGAAAACUUCCAAAAAGUUUUUCAAAGCUCCUUGGAAAAUAUUGCCACAUUCAUCGUAAUGAAAUCUUCCAAAUAUCCAUUAUUGGGAAUAAAUAACGUAUAAACUUGAUUGAGUAAUCACAUUAUUUAGAACCUAUUUAUGAUCUAUUUUAGUUAAAAGAUUCUUAAUUUAUAGUAUUUUUUGUUAUUAGUGUUUCUACUAGAAAAACUUUUUAAGAAAAAUCCAUUAGUAUUUAUAUGUAAUAAAAAAUAUUUUCAUAAUGUUUUUAGUAAUGUAUUAUAUAUUUAGAUGUAAUAAAAAUUAUUUUUAUAAUUUUUUUAAUAAUGAAUUAUAUAUAACCUAAAAAAUAUAAAAUCUCCUACCAUAUGAUUAUCCAUGUGUCAUUCUAGAUGAUUAGCUAAAUUUUUAAAAGCAAAAAACACUUUCAUGUAUUAUAUACGAAACACUUUUGGGCUUGUUUGAAUCAUUUUCAAACAUAUUAUAAAGAUUUUUUUUAUACAUCGUUGGUACUCAUCAUUCUUUACAUACGGUUGACUCAUUGAAGUCUUCUUCUUGGUCUUUAUGAAAACAUGAUGUAGCUUGGAAAAAUCUAUGAAUAAAUCCAACAUUGAUCAACGUCAAUUUUUCUUAUGGGAAGCCUACCUAACGUGGAAUAUGGGGUGUGUCGUUUAAUUGAAUUCAAUUGCAUGCUCUUGGAAAUUAUUCCCUAGACUAUAUUUUUUGUGUUCAUAUGGUGACAUGUUGAAAAUGUAUUUCAUUUUUAUAGAAAGAAAUAAUCCAUGCAUACAAAUUUUGAACACUUAAUCAAGGAGAAAUAUUAAAUUGAAGAGAAAAAUGGCACCAUACUCUCAUAAGAUUCAAUAUAUUAGUUUUUUUUAUAUAAGUAAAUAAUUAAUUAAUCAAAGACUUCAAAGAAAAUAUUUCUGUGAAUUAUAUAUAUAUAUAUAUAUAUAUAUAUAUAUAUAUAUAUAUAUAUAUAUAUAUAUAUAUAAUUUAUAAAGGAUUUAGAUAGGAAAGAAAAAGAGGUUUAAAAUGAAUAAACUUGCCUUCUUUGUAUAUGUUAGAAAAGAGCCAGCUGGGUGACGAGCAUUUGUGUUCACAUUUACUUUUAUUGCAGUCCACUUAAAGUCUACACAAGAAAUUAAAUCAUGAAUGACGUGGACAAUAAUAUUAAUAUUAUUAGAGACUUUAGGAGUCGACUGAUAAAGAGUUGCUUGACUUGGUGUGUUUCCAAGAAGGGAAGAGGCUCUUUCUUAGACACCAACCAAUAUUUAUAUUUAUAUUUGCAUUAUAAAAGUGUGUAGUAAGGUUUAAUUGCACAGAAUUAAAGAUGGCGUCCUCCAUUAUAAUUUCUCCAGCAGUGGUUGUAGUUACCAUUACCAGUAUCAUGAUGAUAAUGUUAUUCUCUCUUGCCAAUGCAUUAUCAUCACCAUCUUCAUCAACUGAUGAGGCAGAGGCUCUGCGCAGCACCGGUUGGUGGAAUUCUACCUCUGCUCAUUGCAACUGGGAUGGUGUAUAUUGCAAUAAUGCCGGAAGAGUUACUCAAAUCGCCUUUUUCGAUUCAGGAAAAAAAUUGGGUGAGCUUAGCAAAUUGGAGUUUUCUUCAUUUCCCAGCCUGGUUGAGCUCUUCCUUUCUGACUGUGGACUCAAUGGCAGCAUCCCACACCAAAUAGGUACUCUUACUCAACUCAUCAUCCUAUAUCUCCCUUUAAACAAUCUUACAGGUGAGCUACCUCUUUCCUUGGCUAACCUCACUCAGUUGGAGUACCUCUCCCUUCAUUCUAAUCGACUACAUGGUUCGAUUCCUCCUGAAAUUGGGAAAAUGAAGAAUCUGAUUUAUUUUAUUCUCCAUGAUAACAACCUUACUGGUGUCAUCCCUUCAUCUUUUGGUAAUCUUACCAAUCUGACUUAUCUUUAUCUUGGCAGUAAUCAAAUAAGUGGUUUUAUCCCUCCUCAAAUUGGGAAAAUGAAGAACCUGGAGUUCCUCUCUCUUUCUUAUAACGGACUACAUGGUUCAAUUCCUCCUGAAAUUGGGAAAUUGCAGAAUCUGAAUUAUUUGUUUCUAGACUAUAACAACCUUACUAGUGUCAUCCCUUCAUCUUUUGGUAAUCUUACCAAUCUGACUUAUCUUUAUCUUGAUAGUAAUCAAAUAAGUGGUUUUAUCCCUCCUCAAAUUGGGAAAAUUAAGAACCUGGAGUUGCUUGAACUUUCUUAUAACGGACUACAUGGUCCAAUUCCUCUUGAAAUUGGGAAAUUGAAGAAUCUGAAAAUUUUGAAUUUGGGUUAUAACAACCUUAUUGGUGUCAUCCCUUCAUCUUUUGGUAAUCUUACCAAUCUAACUUAUCUUACUCUUGGAGGUAAUCAAAUCAGUGGUUUUAUCCCUCCUGAAAUUGGGAAAAUGAAGAAUCUGAUUUUUUUUAAUCUGGGUUAUAACAGCCUUACUGGUGUCAUCCCUUCAUCUUUUGGUAAUCUUACCCAUCUAACUUCUCUUAUUCUUAGAGGAAAUCAAAUCAAUGGUUCCAUCCCUCCUGAAAUUGGGUAUCUUUUGGAUUUAUUAUAUCUAGAUCUCAAUACGAAUCAAAUAAGUGGUUUCAUCCCUGAAGAAAUACUGAAUUUGAAGAAAUUGGGUCAUCUAGACAUCAGUAAUAACUUAAUAAGUGGAAAGAUACCUUCAGAGUUGGGAAAUUUGAAAGAAGCAAUAUACUUCAAUCUCUCCCGCAAUAACAUCUCUGGCACCAUUCCUCUUUCUAUUUCUAACAACAUGUGGACGUUAUUUGAUUUAUCACACAAUCAGUUGGAGGGUCAAUCUACAGCUCCACUAGAGGCAUUUGACCACAACAAAGGUUUAUGUGAUGGAAUCAAAGGUUUGUCGCAUUGCAAGAAAAGACACCAAAUCAUUCUCAUCAUUGCUAUUUCUUUAUCUGCAACCUUGUUGCUUUCAGUUGCAGUCCUUGGGUUUCUCUUCCGCAAACAAAAGAUAAGAAAAAAUCAAUUACCCAAGACAACAAAGGUAAAAAACGGAGAUCUAUUUUCCAUAUGGGAUUAUGAUGGUGUGAUUGCUUAUCAAGACAUCAUCCAAGCAACCGAGGAUUUUGACAUCAAAUACUGCAUAGGCACGGGAGGCUAUGGGAGCGUUUACAGAGCACAACUGCCUUCCGGGAAGGUGGUUGCCUUGAAAAAACUUCAUGGAU
rnacentral:lncRNA from 1 species